AGGAAUUCGGAACCUGCAUCUUUAAUAUGACAUGGUAUAUUUAUUCUUAAUCUCUCCAUUACGUUUUGUGUUCCAUUUUUCUCGAUGGAAGUAAUUGUGGUUUAAUUUCACAUGGUUUUUAAACAAAUAAACACAUGAUGUGCUGAAUAGCUGACAUGCAGAGGAAAUGGUACAGCUUGAUGACUAUUUUACUACUAAAUUAUUCUCAGGUAUUUAUUGUUCCUUUUGUGAUAGUUUUCUCUCUCCUAAAAAUGAAAUGAAUCAUUUUUAAUUCUUUGAACAAGUUUGCCUAAAGUAGGGCGCUCAGCCAUUGAGGCAUUAUCAAUUUCUUUUAGAAGCUUCGCAAAAUCUGCUCUUGUACUAAAGAAAUCUAAUGUAGAUUUGUUAGCCUUAUAGGGUACUAUAUGGUGAACACAUGAUAUUAAAUAUACAGUAAAUUGCACUGUGAAGUGAGUAUGUAUAUACUAUCCACACAGGAUUGCCAUUUUGGAGAUGUUGCUGGGAUCAUCAUGGAUUGGGAUGCAUUCUGAUAAUUAGAUAUUAGGUAUUGAUAUGUGAUAUGUAUGUCACACUUGACUUCAUCAUCCUUUGUUUUUAGAUGUAUUCUUUAGGCAUACAUUAAUGUGGUAGCUUGGUCAUAUUCUGUAGCUAAUUUAGUCACCAAAUACUCGGAUUUUUUCCCGACUCCCAUUAUAAAGAACUUCCACUUGCCAUCUCUAUAUGGAUUUUCUUUUUGCUACCGAUUUUGGCUAAAGGUUUUUCGGCUCUCAUCUCUAUAUGGAUAUGCUUUUCUCAGGUUAGUAGUUUAGGAGUUCCUGCCAACACUGGUUUUUGGAAGUUAUACUCCCUUCACCAGUUGGGCUUAACAAGGACAUAAUUAAUUCUCUGUUGGUAAUUAGAAGGAAAAAAAUCUGGUUGGAGAAAACUUCUCUUUUGCUUAAUUGUUUGCUUCAUAAUUUUAGUAAUCUUUUUUUCUUUUUUUUUCAGGUUAGUAGUAUGGGAGUACCUGUCAAGACUGCCUUUUGGAAGUUAUGCUAGCCUCAUCAGUUGGGCUUUCUAUACAAAACUAGACUCAAUAUAAUUUAUUUUGGUGCUUGCGAUGAGUAUUAGACAGAGGGGUGAUGACCACAUAGUUCACCCAGUGUAUCUGUUCAUGUAUGUCAUUAAUUAUCUAAUUAGACAAAAAAACUCUCUCUGUAUGGUGUUUGUGAUGAUGCUGUCAAUUCACUAAACACUAAAAUACCAGGUUGUGAUUUUCAAAUCUAGCAAAUUAAUUUUCUCUAUUGCUUCUUUUCCAGGCAGAAGUUUUAGUCUAUUCUGUUCCAUGAGUCUUACUGUCAAAAAAAAUAUAUGGUAGCAUCAGAAGUUGUCCCCAUCAGAUAGAACACUGCCUAAUAGAUUCAUUCUAUUACUGUAUAGCCAUGGUGACAAAAAUAUUCAGAUAACAAGAAACAAUUUUGUCAAAUAUUGUCAGCGGAGAUACUGUUGCGGUCUAUAAGAAAAAAAUGUUAAUUAUUUAAUUAAACAGAAAACUAUGUUAUUUAUACCAACAAAUGCUAAACAAUCAGACUACCUGACACAAAAGUAUAUAUAUACAUUAGUUAAAUUUCAUUCCAAAAAUAGAUGAUGUAGUGGUAGAUGUUAAUCGUACAAGAACAUGAGGAUGACAAACAUAAAUUAAUCACAUAUAUUAUCAUCAUAGGUCGAUCUAACUGGUGGUAGUUAUUCUUUGCACUGAAAACAAAGUGGAAUCAAACGAUUCAAGCAACCAAAAAGAAGGAAACAAAGGAUGCUUAUGGAUCUGAAUGAGUUAGGGCGCUCCACUACUUGCAAGUAGAUCCAGUGACUCAGUGGCAGAGCUACUCUCGGCGACGCCAGGAAGCCACCCUGGUUCUACCCAGAAGUCAUCACUGAAAUUACAACAAGAAAUAUGAAGUAAUUAGUAUUUUUUUCCAUGGACAUAUGACCGCCGGCCAGUUGCCUUUGUGCUCAUGCCGGUGCUGUACCAAUGAAUUGACUCCAUCACUGUAGCGACCUGGAAGAACAUCAACUGUUUGUGGAGUUGGGAAUUUCUUCUCCGAGGAGAGAAAUGUUUAGUACGUCUCCAAAUCACUCCACUGUCCCGCCGGACAAAGAUGAGUUUAAUAUGGCCCGUCGACACGGAGAAGGCCUGCUAUCACAUACCGCUUAUUGGGCUGUAACAUUAGUCUCAUUCCAACGUCACAUAUCCAACAAAGAAGCUUAUACCAAAGAGAAAGCUACAAAUUGGAUGAUUGAUCCCUAUGAAAUUGAUGUUACACAUAUUUUAUUUCAAAAAGGGGAUUACCCGGGCCUCUGCAUCAAAUGAUGCACACAUUCAUAUUAUUAAACAUAAAUCAAGUUCCAAACACGGAGUUCCAGACUUAUUUCAUCAAGUAGUUUUCUUGUAUUUGAACUCAAUUCCUUCAAUUUCUCUAAGCCGUGAGCUUAUAUCAGCGGUGAGCUCAUCUACAUUAUGGGUUGUGAACUCAUUUAGUUUUAUCUAUGAACUCAUUAGGUGAACUCAUCACGGUUUUUUGGCAGAUGUGAACUUAUUUCAUAUUCAUCUAUGAAUCAUUGUUGAAGUGUCUGUAUAUCUCUCCCAUGCCAAUGUACAGAAAUUUGAGGUCUACAUACUUUUGCCAGUUCUACCUACAAUUCCAUUACUGUCUUUGAAUAAGCUACAGCAAGUGCAACAAAACAGAUUGCAACAAGUAGCUUAUGGACUGAAAUUUGUGAUAUUAUUCAUUUGUCGUAUUGUCGCUUAGUUCAUCCUGGUUGUGAAGCUAAACGUGACAUGCUAUUCUUGACGUAAUUUCCAAAUUGCAAUCCAUAAUCAAGCAAAAGACUACAAUAAAUGUGACUUACAUGUUGCUUGCAUUCAACACCUUCAGGACCUGCACACGCAUCCAUCUCCUCCUCCGGCCGUUGCUGCCAUUAAGCCACUUGCUCAGGACCUGCACAAGGCAUCCACCUUCUCUUCAGCACCAGUCUCGCCACUAGAAUGCUUCUCCAGCAGGGGAGGGCGAUCUGCGCCGAUGCGCGCAGGGGAGGGCAAGCACCCGCGGAGAGCUGCGCUGUCGCGCGCGGGCGUGGGGGAGAACCCGCGGCAAGCUGCGGUGGCUUGUGUAGGUAUCCGUGAGGUGAGGACGAGCUGCGCCGGCGCCUACAGACAUGGAUGAGCACCGGCGAUGAACCACAGUUGCUCGCGCAGGCAUCAGCAAGGCAUGGGCCAUCGGCGGGGGAGCUACGGUUGCUCGCACACGCGUGGGCAAGCUAUGGCGGAGAGAUGCGGUGGCUUCCGCAAGCAGCAGUGGGGUACGGCGACGAGCUAGCCCGAGAGCAAUCCUUAUCCAACCAGUCCACACACAUUAGAUAAGGUUAGAUAGCAUCAGGGGCACUUUGGUCCUUUCAAGUGCUAGAAAAUGGAAAAGAAAAAAAAGAAAUGGCAUGGUAAUGAAAGUGCACUGAACUGGUGGCAUUUUUAUGAAGUAAGUACUAUUAAAAACAGAAAAUAACCUAUUUUCUUCUAAAAAACAAUAUAACUCUUACUUUUUUUGUCGGGUUGGCUCACGCCCAAACUGGGCCACAAGGCAGUCAACUCCUUCAGACUAACUAAUAUCAAAUUAGUUGAUUCGGCAUUUUUUUGCACUGCCUAGCCUCGAUUUGUUUUUCAUAUGAAGUGACUCACAUGCUAAUUAAUUCUUCCUCCCACCUCGCUUAUGUUGGUUUUGAUUAAUUAAAACUUAUUCUGCCAGUCAACAAUGUAUAGAUAUGUUGACUUUUAUCUUUAUGUACUAUUUAUCUUUCGCUCCUCUACUGCACCGAAUUCAUUGUAGUGGUCAAGCAAAAAGAAAACUUCAGUUUAAACACUUUGUUUGAAAAGAAAUAAAGAUACAUGCGUCUAAGUUUACAACCUUAUUAAACAAACAAAGUAGCUCUCAUGUCCACUUUAUAUUCUGUCAGAGAAAUCAAGGCAAACAAGGAUUCUUAAAAUAAAAAAUGUUAUCUCUAAUUUCAAGAUAGUUUGCAAUCCGUCGAGAUCUAGGACAUUCAUCAAUUCAAAACGGACUAAGUUUGAAUGAAAUGAAAGCAGCUUCAACAUUGUGUACAUAGGGAACAAACCACCAAGAACCAAAGCAUAAGAACUAGCCUCAUCUCUUUACCACUACAUCACUGAGACAAACCUAGCUGGACGAUCAACAUCUUAUCUAAAAAAACAAGAGCUUUAUAAUUCUGUGUCCAGUAGCCACUAUCACUAUCUACUGUAGAUCACUUAUGCACGUACGAACUAGAUGUAUUCUUUUCUUGUAUGAACUACUUUGCAAUGAAUUAAGUCUUGGGACGAGUUACCAAAUAUUACAAAAAACAAAUAGUUUGUAAAUUCAUGUGGCACGGCGUGCCGCCGCGCACUACCUGCUAGUAUAUAUGAGAGAAGAUAGCAUCUCGAUCAACACCGUACGAGUGCCCAUCAUCUAAACGUAGAGAUCGACAACAAGAUCGAUGGCCGCUGAGCGCAAGACUAGUGUUGUCGGGUCGUUCCUCGCCGUUACCCUCGUGGUGCUGGUGGUGGUGGCCACAUCAUCCAUGCCGGUGGUUAGGGGGGAUGAGAAGUCUGCUUGCCUCGGCGAUUACUCCAAGCUCUGCGGCAAGGACCCCGCGUGCACCACCAUGGUGGAGACGGCCUGCUGCGAUGAUGCCGAUAGCGUCAAGUUCAUCAAGGGCAUGUUCGACGAGCUCGCCACGGUCGGUGGAGACAACAAUGACUUUGCUUCUACGGCAUGGCCGUGGGGGCACGCGGCCCUCCGCGCGGCCGUGGACGAGCACGGGGCCUGCCCCGGCAACAAGACGGUCGGACAAUUUGCUGGUGAGCACUGCAUCAAGGACCUCGACGCGGCAUAAAAGGAUCCGAGCUGCACCGACGAUGCUCACAUCGAAUGCUACCGUACAGCCUCGAGAUUUUGCUACAGCAAGGCCACCCCCACCGACAAGAAAGCCAUACAGCAAAACUUGGAGUGCUUCAAGAGCUGUUGCGCAAAGAAGAACAAUAGUGAAGAGUGCCGUAAAGUAUGCAUCCUCAAGAUUCCGGCCAAUUGAAAAUGCAUGCAUGCAUUUGUACUUCAGGGUGCUGCUUUCAUUUCAGAGUGCUUCAUUCAUGUUUUCACAUGCAUGUAUUAAUCUCAUUUUGUUGUUGCUUUUUCUAACAUUCUUCUUUUUUCGCAAAAAGAACAUUCAUUAUGUUGUUGCUGUUAUUGGAAAACCAAUAAAUAAAGAGUGGUAAAUAAUUUUUGGAUGAUCUCUAACUUAACGUUAUAUUUUGCUAGCUAGAUGUGCUUGCAUGUUGGCAGAGUUUCUUAGUGCGCAUGCAAGUGGCACAAAAUCAGGGCACGCUUGUUUUCUCUUGCUGUGGGUAUUUAGGCCCAGUUCUUUUGCCAGAAUCUGGAAAUUCUCCCAGAAUUCGACCCCUACUCAGCUUCUCCCAGAAUCUUUGAGCCCCAUUUAUUUUACAAUCCUAUCUAAUUAGACCCUAACUAGAUAGGAUUGUAAAACAAACGAGGCCCAAAGAUUCUGGGAGAAGCUGAGUAGGGGUCGGAUUCUGAAAAAAUCCCAAGAUUAUGGUAAAAGAACUGGGCCUUAGGGAGGUUACAAGCAUGUUUUUUUCCUAGGGUCAGAAGAAGAGAAUAUAAAGGAGAAAAGCAAAAUCAUAUGUCCUCUCUUAUGAACCUGUGAAAUGAAUCGAAGGAGCUGAGAGAGUCAGCUCCAAUAUUAAUUGCCAAGGUUCAAAGACGCCACGAUGGUCAAUAGGUUUUUUUCUGGAAAAAUCACUACCAGGAAAUGAUUAUAUGACGAGUGCAUAGCUUCAAGCACUCGGUGAAGGACCGCCUAAAAUGACUGCAUAUAAAAAAAAAUAGACCCAUGUUUGCAGAAAAACUAGCGAAAAUUACAAUGCUAAUUUCAUAUUGUUGGGGAACGCAGUAAUUUCAAAAAUCUUCCUACGAUCAUGCAAGAUCUAUAUCUAGGUGAUGCAUAGCAACGAGAGGGGAGAGUGUUGUCUACGUACCAUCGUAGACCCAAAGCGAAAGCGUUAUGACAACGCGGUUGAUGUAUUCGUACGUCUUCACGAUCCGACCGAUCCUAGCACCGAAGGUACGGCACCUCCGCGAUCUGCACAAGUUUAGCUCGGUGACGUCUCACGAACUCUAGAUCCAGGUGAGGUCGAGGGAGAGUUUCGUCAGCACGACGGUGUCGUGACGGUGAUGAUGAAGUUACCGGCGCAGGGCUUCGCCUAAGCACUACAACGAUAUGACCAAGGUGGAAAUCUGUGGAGGGGGCACCGCACACGGCUAAACAAUCAACUUGUGUGUUCUAGGGUGCCCCCUGCCCCCGUAUAUAAAGGAGCAAGGGGGAGGUCAGCCGGCCCUCAUGGGGCGCGCCCCUAGUAGGAUUCCUACUGGGAAUCGUAUUCCUAGUAGGUUUCCAACAAGGGAAAAGAGGGGGAAGGAGGAAGGAAGAGGGGGAACAGAAGGAAAGGGGGGAGGGGGCGCCGCCCCCUUCCCUUGUCCUAUUCAGACUCAAGGGGGAUGGGAGGGCAGACCCUCCUAGCCCUUCCUCUUCUCGCACUAAGGCCCAUCUAGGCCCGUUAGUUCCCCCGGGGGAUUCCGGUAACCCUCCGGCACUCCGGUUUUAUCCGAAACUUCUCCGGAACACUUCCGGUGUCCGAAUAUAGUCGUCCAAUAUAUCUAUCUUUACGUCUAGACCAUUUCGAGACUCCUCGUCAUGUCCGUGAUCACAUCCGGGACUCCGAACAAUCUUCGAUACAUCAUAUCACAUAAACGCAUAAUACCAAUCGUCAUCGAACGUUAAGUGUGCGGACCCUACGAGUUCAAGAACUAUGCAUACAUGACCGAGACACGUCUCAGGUCAAUGACCAAUAGCGGAACCUGGAUGCUCAUAUUGGUUCCUACAUAUUCUACGAAGAUCUUUAUCGGUCAAACCGCAUAACACCAUACGUUGUUCCCUUCGUCAUCGGUAUGUUACUUGCCCGAGAUUCGAUCGUCGGUAUCUCAAUACCUAGUUCAAUCUCGUUACCGGCAAGUUUCUUUACUCCGUCUGUAAUACUUCAUCCCGCAACUAACUCAUUAGUCACAAUGCUUGCAAGGCUUAUAGUGACGAGUAUUACCGAGAGGGCCUAGAGAUACCUCUCCGAAACACGGAGUGACAAAUGCUAAUAUGGAUCUAUGCCAACCCAACAAACACCUUCGGAGACACCUGUAGAGCACUAUUAUAAUCACCCAUUUACGUUGUGACAUUUGGUAGCACACAAAGUGUUCCUCCGGUAUUCGGGAGUUGCAUAAUCUCAUAGUCUGAGGAACUUGUAUAAGUCAUGAAGAAAGCAGUAGCAAUGAAACUAACACGAUCAUAAUGCUAAGCUAACGGAUGGGUCAUGUCCAUCACAUCAUUCUCCUAAUGAUGUGAUCUCGUUCAUCAAAUGACAACACAUGUCUAUGGUUAGGAAACAUAACCAUCUUUGAUUAACGAGCUAGUCUAGUAGAGGCAUACUAGCGACACUAUGUUUUGUCUAUGUAUUCACACAUGUACUAAGUUUCCGGUUAAUACAAUUCUAGCAUGAAUAAUAAACAUUUAUCAUGAAUUAAGGAAAUAAAUAAUAACUUUAUUAUUGCCUCUAGGGCAUAUUUCCUUCAGAUAUAAUUUUGAUUUCUAUGAUGUAUUGAAGGAUAACUAAUUUGGUAUCGUGUUUGUUGAUAGUUUUUAGAUCAACUUGAACAAACUUUGUACUGUUUGACUCUAGACAAACAUUGUGUAGGAUCGAGAGUAUAUCGACUAGAGGGGGGUUGAAUGAGAGAUUUAAAAUUUCUUUUCAAAACUUCAAAUCUCUGGAGACAUAACAGCAGAAGUAAUACUACAAUAGGAACACUGAACAAAAGUAAGUACAGGCACACAAAGACAAACAGGCUAAACCAAUACGACUAAGAAAAUGUUUCGAUCAAAGCGAUGAUAAUCUUCCUAGUGUAGUGGCAGAGAACCUUAGCAACAACAAUGAUAAAACAGAAACAAAACAACUCAAAUGACAUGGAGGACGGACUGUUAUGAAAGUGCCCUUCUGCUCGUACCCACUCGUCGCUUGCCCCUGCAGGGCGACAGGGGGAGCAACCCUAGCAACCCAGCCGCUGCGAUCCCAUCUCUCCUUCCCCUCUGCCGCUGUCGGGGGACAGCGCCGAGUAGAGCCUGUGCGUUCGAUGGCAGCGGCAGAGGGCUGCUCCUCCUUCCCGCGUUGUAAGGCGGUGAGAGCGCCAGAUCCGCAGAGGUGCGGUCUCUUCCUCGAUCCUUGGGGCAUGGUGGCUCCUGCUAGGGGUGUUUGUACUGGUGCAGGAUGAUAAGGCUAGAGGAUGGAGGUGGGGCUGGGCUUGGCCGGUGGCAGAGGCGGCGUCCGGCCCAGAUCCGGUCUUGGCGAAGGCGGUGGCGACUCCGGCCCGGAUCCGAAUGUGGCAGUGUGGUGGCAUCCCCUUUGCCAGGAAGACGGGCCAGAUUGUGGGCCCUUGUGGCGGCAUCGAUGGCGGCAGAUCUUGGGAUCCCGCAUCCGGGAACAUCGCAGGAUGCGCAUGGCGGCCGGAGGUUUCUCUGGCAUGGACGACGCUUGAUGCGGGAUCGCCACAACGCUUGCUGUUGUAUAGGCAACAACAAGGGGGCUAUAGAUGAUAUGCAUAUCGAGGAGGAAUAUCUUCAAGUUCUCAGUUGUUUGAACAAACCAGGUAUUAUAUUCUCAGUUUUGGCGUGGACAAGUGUCAGGACCCGAUUUUCGGGAUAUUAAUUUCCCAGAAAAUGGCCCUUGUGCUCACCAGCCCCAGGAUUACUAUUAGCUGAUGAGGCACCAACUUGAUACAGAAACUCCAAGCAAAAUACAAGAUAUGUAGUACAAGACCAUUCUAGCCUAUGAGUACAAUAAAUGGUUACUAGUGGUUGAUGGCGGAAGCGGUUUUGCGGAUCAUCAGCGUCUAUGGGACUCCAUUUCCCACAGGAACAGCUGACCUAGAUAACUCCUAUCUUCGCGAGACUGUUCUCAUCACUGCCUAGGUUCCGGGGCUGUCAUCGCAGUGCUCCUCUCCAUGCAAGGAAAUCUGGGCAAGACAAUAGCCAGGGACAAGCCAGUGAGUACUUUUGAAUGUACUCGCAAACAUUAAGAACACAGGUAUAAUAUAACAAUUGAAAAUCAUGCUCUGAAUUAUUUCAAAACCACACAUCAGUCAUGAAAUGAAAAUCCAUGAUGCACAUAGGUAGGUUAUUUAUGUCAAAUAUGAAUAUGCAAUCAGAGGGGAAAAAAUAAUGCACCGAUCGGGUGUCUGAAGCGACACCUCGAAAGGAUAAUGAUAUAAAGCAUGCCUCAGUCGGGCGUCUGAGCGACACCACAUAAAGGGCUUAUAAAGGAAUUUAAAUAACAAGCACGCCACAGUUGGGCGUCUCAGUGACACCACAUAAAGGGCUUAUAAAGUAAUUUAAAUAACAAACAUGCCACAGUCGGGCGUCUCUGCGACACCACAUAAAGGGCUUAUAAAGUAAUUUGAAUAACAAGCAUGCCACAGUCGAGCGUCUCUGCGACAUCACAUAAAGGGCUUAUAAAGGAAUUUAAAUAAAAAGCACGCCACAGUAGGGCGUCUCAGCGACACCACAUAAAGGGCUUAUAGGGGAAUAAUCACAGUGAAUAUCCAGGAGGUAGAACCAUCCCAGUGAUACUCAGUAAUUCAAAUAAUGUAAAUGGUUAGCCCAUAAUAAUAGUAAUCAUAAUCAUCAUGUGUCGCAAGUCAUGAUCCAUGUUUUGGUUUAGCAAUCUUUCGUCCGAAGACCGACACUAAGACCGACACUUGACCCAUCCCAGACUGUAGUCCUUAACUAUGGACACGGCUAUUCGAAUAGAUAUAACCUCUGCAGAGGGUGUACUCUUUACCCACGAGCAACGGAUUCCUUUAGUCCAUCGGGACUAAUUCCGUCUACGGUCUUUUAAUUAAAAACACACCUGACCACACACACCAGCCUAUCUUACCGGUGUCUGGAAUCACCCACGACACCCGUUAAGCGAAACUCUAAGUGGGGAGGCUGCAACCUCGAUUAGCAUGGGAUCACAAAAUUUAUAUCGCGCACAAACUAGGGGAGCUACCCCCUCGGCUUCAACCGAAAACACCCAUUCCCCCGGACCAGGUGGCAUGCCUACCGGAUGCAGCCGGUAUCUUCCAUCAUGGCCUCUCUGUACGAUGUGUGCUAGGAAAGGGGUUGACAACUUACUGAACCGUACCCUACGUAUGGCAGGGACAAGUGGUAGUACGAAACAAGCAUGGGGGUUACUGGAACAAGACUCGAUCUAUGGUCGACUCAGGAGGUUUAAGUAUUCCCUGCAUGAUUAGCAUAACAAAUAUAUUUCAACCGACAGACAGAAUCACCACCCAUCAUACCUCAUCAUGCCCUACCGGAUACAACCGUCUCGACGAGAAACUAGGGAUAAGCUCGUGUCUACCCAAGACAGAGACUUUCCUGGCUUCCUUCCGGUAGACAUGAAAGGCAUACGAGCGUGAUCACUAUCACGAGCAUAUCCAUUUCCAACAGCAAGGAAAUCUUCAUUUUGCACUCAUGCGUAUGAUCAUAUCAUCUCAUAAAUAAUGAAUGCUCCAUGUCGAGGUGGUGUUGUAACCGUAUCAAACAACACACAAAAAUAUUAUGCCAGGGUUCAGAAUGCUUGCCUUGAAGUUGUGGACAGGCAGGGUGCAUUCCAAAACUUUUGAAAGUUUCUUGCUUCUUCAAAAAUCCUAUUUUGAGGAAAUUCAAAUUAACACAUAUUUUUUUUAAACAGUACAAAAAGUUUUUUGGCAAAUUUUCUAAUAAAUGUGAAAAUAAACUAGACAGAAUUUGAGAAACAACAGAAAAAGAAUCAAGUCAAUUGGACUUAUAUUUUAAAAGUUAUAGUGAGUCAAAGUUCAGUCAAAAUCUGUUUUUAAUUAAAACAGAAAAAGAAAACGUUUCGAAUAGGAAUACGUCUUCGAGACGGAGGAAACAUACUUCUGGGUUUACGCCUCAUCUUAAACCAGCGCGGACCGGCUUGGGGUCACUGACAGUGGGUCCCUUGGGCCCACUGGUCAGGUUUGACCAAUCGCCCGCGCCUCCUCUCUCCUCUAGCCGAACAGAGGCGGGGCGCCGACGAUCACCACCGAUGAACGGCGGCUCCCUACAGGGAUCCAAGGGCAGGGAUGGAUCCGCCAGUCUGGGGCGGUCCUCCUGGUGGUCGACAAACUGGCGGGGAUGAAGGGAGUCGCCGGUGGUGAGCUCUGCGACGGAGGUGAGUUCGGGAGAAAUUGGGGUUUCGGGCUACGGUGACUCCCGGACGAGGCUGAGGGUUUGGGUGGCUCCGCAUGAUCAAGGGGAGUCGGACGAUGGCGUUGGAAGGGCAGGGGAGGCUCUAUUUGCGACGCACGGCGCCGGAGUGUGGCGGCGGCCGAACUGGCCGGAGACGAGGAAGACGGCCUUCCCUCGUCGAUUGCUGGCUGUGGGGGCACUAAGGGGAUGGUACGAGGUUGCCUAAGUGUCCGGAUGGGCUCGGGGUCCCUAUUUAUAGCGCGACUAGGUCGGUUCCACAGCGGCCGGAGAUAAGAUCGGCGAACCGCCUCGCUGUAGCUUGCAGUGCGAUGUGUCGGCGAUGGGGAUGUUGGCAUAGGCUAGCUGACGAGCAGGCACUGCCCCAGGGGCGAGCUGGCGAGCGGUUGUGGCUCGGGCGGUGCCGUCCACGGCAGGGACGUGCUGUGGACUCUGGCGUGCCGCCAAGGGGGCUCUGAAGGCGGCGACGUAGGGUGCCAGGGUGGCCUGGAGGGUUCUGUUGAGUGGACGGGAACGAGGAGUGGCCCUGCGGGCGAGCGAAGGCCAGGGGCAAGACGCGGCGGCUCGGUGCGCGCGCGUGCAAAACAUGCGCUCUGGGCGCGCCCAGAGCACGCACACCAGGUGCUCGAUGCUAUGCCAACGCGUCCUAUGCCUCUCCGAUGCCUCUGCAACUAAACAAAACUAGGCUAAUGAUCAUGAGGGAGCUAAUAGACAUGUUGGUAAGGUCACUAGAGCAACUUCCUAAUGCAAGUCCAAAAGCAUGCCAAAACUGGCCAUGCUCCUAACAUGCUCGAUGAAAUGCCACGGGCAUCUAGGCAUCUCUUGGGGUGGCCAAAAUCUCCAGAUCAUAGUCUCUCUAGAUGCUAAAGAGGGUGGCAGAGUUAGUUGGGCAAAACCAGAAACUUGUUAGUGCAAUUUUUUGAGAAAACCAAAUCUGGACAGAAACUAAGGGCAUCAUUGCAUGGACCAAAUAUACUCCAAUGGGUCCACUUUCCUGGACUUAAAGGUUUUGUAGGGUGAUCUAUAAGCAGGAAAAAUAAUCAUGGGAAAAAGGGCAAGUUAAAAUAUAGUUGCACUACAAUUCACCAAGAUGGACCAGAAUGAAGAUGAGGAUGAUCUGCUCAAAUUUUUCAAAGAACAUCAAUGGGUUUUUGCAUAAAGUUGAAUUAUAUACUACUACUAACUUCCCAUAAUUUUGGUGGAAGCUUUAAAGAAAUUUUUAAAUAGGUUGUAGUGCAAUUUGGCAAACUGGACCAGAAUUGAAAACUUGGGGUAGAGCUCAAAAUCUCCAAUGACUAAAAUAUAUUAUUGCAUAAAAGUGACGUGGAAGCAUCACAUGUCAUCCCCAAAUGUUGGUGAGAAUUUUAAAAGGGUAUUUGAAAGGGUUGCAGUGCAAACUGACUCCAAAACUCAUAAAAUCCAUUUUAAAAGAAAUAAAGCUCAGGAAAAAUUAAUUAUAUAAAUAAUUCCUCUGAUAAAAAAAUGUUUUUCUUGAGAGGGUAUACAAGUCCAACAAUGCAUUUGGAAAGUUUUCAGUUGGGGUAAAAACUCCAUAAUAUCAAAGAAAAGGGUGGUUCUGAAAUCAAAGAAAAUCCAGAAAAUAAAAAUUUAAUUUCCUGGCAAUAUUUUAAUAAACAAAUCAUGUUUAAAUUUUUGGGGUGUUACAACACUACCCCCCUUAAGAAAAAACUCAUCCUCAAGAUUUAUUAAGGGUUGCUUAAAACAAAUUACACCUGUUAUCACAAAAAUAACCGCUCUACUCAUGCAAUAAAAUAUGGCUAAAGUGAGUGGGCAAUAAGUGGUGUAAAACUACAGUGUGGAAGACUGGCGUUGCGUAGAAAAAUCCAUGUUUGGGGGAAAACGAGGAAUUUCAACUUUUGGUCACAGAAAUCUAGAAUUAAAUUCUAAUUUCUAAAAUACGCUGGUCGUACCCGAGAGCACAAUGCUCCCUCUGGCUAACAGGUGGACCCCGGGCCCACUGACAGUCUCUUCUUCUUCCUCUGGCUCUCUCUUCUUCUUCUCUCUCUCUCGCGUGCUUUCCCGCGCUUUCUCCACCGGCGACGUCUAGUGCGUAGGGCAUCUAGGCCGUACCGCGGUAGUGCACGGCGUGCUAGCUGCCGGUGCAGCGUGCACUCACCUCGCGGGCCAGUGCGCUGUCGACACUGCUCGCGGAUUCGCCUCCGAACACCGACGAUCGAGCGACGAGCGGCGCUGGUGGACUUCGCCCACCGUACACCGAUCUCGAGCUAUAAAAUGACCGGGGUGCUCCUUCUUCUUCCUCACACCUGGCCUCGUUUCUCCUUCUCCUUCCUUCUCCUCUAUUCCCGUUUUGCAGAAGCUCGAGACGAGGCUCUAAUGGCGGAGGCGGUGCCGGACUGGUACAUGAUCCUGGUGUGUGGAGGGCUGGCGGCAUUGCUGGGGUUCUCCGUGCUCCUGUGCGCGAUGAUCCUCGAAGAUCAUCGUGAUCCUGCCGCUUCAGUGUUGGCUCUCCGCGGUGGCGGCGAUCACGAGGAUUAGGUGCGGUGCCGGGUGUUAACUGUUGUCAAUGCUGGGGAUAACCUGUAUCCGAAUAUUUACUCACAAAUCUCUCCUUCAGAAACUGUGGUGUGUUAGGGAGGCGAUCAGUUAGAUACAACAUGGGUACAUGGUUUUGCAAUUAGUGCACGUGGUCGAGUGGUUGUGGUUGUGAGACUGCUGUCGCGGUGUUGCGUGAAUAAAAAUCUAUGUCGUGAAGAGAUGUACGCUGCAGCAACUCAGGGAAAGGAAAUCUCACUUCAGAAUUUUUUGAGAGUGAAAAUUAGUUAAUCAAAAUUUAACAGCAGCAAAAACCACUCGCAUAAAUUGAAACCAAUUAUUUAAUUCGUCGCACAAAUUCAGGAUACCACGCAUAAGUUGCAACACAAAAUUAAAUGCCGGGGAACAAUAACAUAGCAGUGACGUCUACAGUGAAAAUGGAAAAUAGAUAGGGUCCCGAGAAAACAUCUCUGGUACUGGGCACACUCUUCUUCUAUCGGGGGAAGCAGAUUGACUAGUCGGUGAAUGUGUCUCUCCUGGUCGGGCCUUAGUGGUCUGCCGAUGGCGAUGUGAGGAUUUAAAUCAGCGAGGCUCUGGAGAUAACCCAUUAUUCGCUGGGUUAAACGCUCUUGAGUGAUGACAUACUAGGCAAGGUUGAACAGUACUGGGUCUCUCUCAAUUCGUCCACCAGGAAAAGUGGUUACUUCUCCGAGUGCUGCACGACUCGGGAAAUAAUAAUACCCUCGUUCGCUGGCAUAGGGUACCGCGAAUCGAAGGCGGGCAAGUGCUUCAUAUGCCACUACUUCUAUGGCCAUCUGCGGAGUCGGCAUAGAUUUCCCCACGAAGGAGACUUCCGUUGGGUCUUGGUUUGGGUUUGUGGGAGGGAUGUGCACCACUGCCCGAUAUUUCGAGGUGGAUGGGGUGAUCCUCGAUUUGAGCAACUCGUACUGGGGUGGAUGGAUAGAACUCAUGGUACUGCAGGUAAAGUCCCACAAUAUUUUAACAAAACUACCUGGGGUUGCAUCUGGACUUCUCAGAUAAAUGCUAGGGCUCGGCAUGGCCAAGGAAUGGUUGUGAGAGUUGGGCACAAGGUGAGGGCUAAUUGGUAAGGUCACGAGGUGGCCUUUUAUAUAGCAUCUGGGCUGGGUUAUUUAUCACGGUGAGGGGCGACUAGUUUGUUGGUUGUGCUCUAUGGGGUCGGGGUCAAAGCCACAGAUACACAUAUCUCACAAAAGUGAUGUAUUACUGUGGGUGUCGUCGGGGGUGGUUGUUGGUAGCUACGCCCGGAAUUAAAAAUGCAGCCGUACACCACACACUUAUGCAUGGCUACAGUUUAAAAUAGGGACACACAAGCAGACAACAUUCAACUAUGGCGAUACAAGAUUACGUAAUUACAGGGCGUGGACAUACUAAGAUUUGGUACUACUCGAGCGACUUAGUCUACCUCGUUAAUAUCUAAGCGGGCUUGCCUUGUGGACGUCGAGGCUUCACCAUGGGAUUCACCGUCGGGGUUAGAUGGAGGUGGUUGAGGAACUGCAGGGUCGGGGUAGCGAUGAUGACCAUCGCGGGGAUUGUUGGCCACGAUCCCGCUGGAGCGUGUUCCCAAAAGGCGACGAAGCACUUCUAGGGACACCAAAGCACCUUGGUCGAUGGCUAGGGCUGACCUCAAGGUCUCGAUUGGUUGUCCGAACAACACGAUUGGGCUGUCGACGUCGGGCUCAUCUUCUCUUCUUGCCGGGGCUCGGUGGAUCAGUUCUCCAUGAGCUGCGAUCAGAUCCAGAGUGAUUUGAUCGAGCAUUUCCUCUAGUGCACUUACAUAGCGCACCAGAUGCAACAAUGCAGGAUCCGUCUCGUGAUCUCCGUUGGUAACCUGGGGUGGCCUACCAUACCCGUCACGACUGGGGUAGUAGUAGACCGAGCGACAGUUAACUCUAGGCGACAAGUGCCGGAGUUGAACUAUAGCCUCUCGAGCAGCUAGCUGGAUGGCUUGUGGCUCAAAGGAAGUUGUCCUUCCGGUGAACCUGUAGGGGCGUUCUGGCGAUAGACCCCUACCAUAGACGUGCACAGUGGCCCAGAAUUGACGGCUCUCACCACUCAUGGGCCCUUGGUACACAACAUAUUCUGGGGUUCUUCUAAUGCAAAGGCAUGGCGGGUGAGGUUUGCUAGCACGGUCACAAAACCUCCAAGGUUGGUUGCCGUGGUCUCAUUGUGAACAAUGGGUCCUGGCAUUUUAGCUUGGUUUGGGGUAGCGGCUGUGCUGUGCUGGGUUGAGGCUAGCGUGCCCUUUUUAUAGAAAAAGGGGACAGAGUCUUCCUUCGCACGCUUGCGAAUAAGACAUUUUAGGUGUCGGUCACUGGCGUGUGAUCGACAGGCUAGGCCGAUAGGUUGGGCACCGACUGCCAAAAAGGUGUCGGGGUCACUGAGGGAGUCCUGGAUUAGGGGGUGUUCGGGUAGCCGGACUAUACCUUCAGCCGGACUCGUGGAAUAUGAAGAUACAAGAUUGAAGACUUCGUCCCGUGUCCGGAUGGGACUUUCCUUGGCGUGGAUGGCAAGCUUGGCGAUGCGGAUAUUCAAGAUCUCCUACCAUUGUAACCGACUCUAUGUAACCCUAACCCUAUCCGGUGUCUAUAUAAACCGGAGGGUUGUAGUCCGUAGGCAAUCAACUCCAUAUACAACAAUCAUACCAUAGGCUAGCUUCUAGGGUUUAGCCUCCUUGAUCUCGUGGUAGAUCUACUCUUGUACUACCCAUAUCAUGAAUAUUAAUCAAGCAGGACGUAGGGUUUUACCUCCAUCAAGAGGGCCCAAACCUGGGUAAAACAUCGUGUUCCCUGCCUCCUGUUACCAUCCGGCCUAGACGCACAGUUCGGGACCCACUACCCGAGAUCCGCCGGUUUUGACACCGACAUUGGUGCUUUCAUUAAGAGUUCCUCUGUGUCGUCGCCUUUAGGCCCGAUGGCUCCUUUGAUCAUCAACAACGAUGUGGUCCAGGGUGAGACUUUUCUCCCCGGAUAGAUCUUCGUUUUCGGGGGCUUCGCUCUGCAGGCCAAUUCGCUCGGCCACCUGGAGCAGAUCGAAAGCUACGCCCCUGGCCAUCAAGUCAGGUUUGGAAGCUUAAACUACACGGCUGACAUCCGCAGAGAUUUGAUCUUCGACGGGCUCGAGCCACGGCCAAGCGCGCCGCACUAUCUCAAGGGGCAUGAUCUAGCUCUGCCCCCGGACAGCGUCUUGGAGGCCGCACACGCAUCGGUUCCGACCCCUAACUCAGAGCCUAUUGCGCCAAUCGAGGAUGAGCGGUUGGACGUCACCUCGGGGGCUGCGAUCCCAAAAGCGAACUCCGAUCCGUGACUCUGAGGAUCCGGACUCCUUUCCGAACUCCGAACCCCCCGCGCCCCUGCCGAUCGAAUCUGAUUGGGUGCCGAUAAUGGAGUUCACCGCCGCAGACAUCUUUCAGCACUCGCCUUUUGACGAUGUCCUGAACUCUCUCAAGUCUCUCUCCUUAUCAGGAGAGCCCUGGCCGAACUACGGUCAGCGAGGAUGGGAUAUGGACGAUGAAGAAAUUUAAAGCCCACCCACCACCCACUUGGUAGCCACUGUCGACAAUUUAAACGACGUUCUCAACUUCGACUCUGAAGACAUCGACAACAUGGAUGACGAUGCAGGAGAUACCGACGAACCAACGCCCAUAGGGCAUUGGACAGCCACCUCAUCUCACGAUGUGUACAUGGUGGAUACCCCUAAAGGAAGCGACAACGAGGAAAAAGGGGAUGGGACGGGAGAUCGACCCCCCGAAAAGCAAUCAAAGCGUCGGCGUAAACGCCGACCCAAGCCCCGCCUCGACAAAAACCCAGCCAUAGAGCAGGACGAGCCGGUAGACGACGAGCAGGCCUUAGAGCAACCGUCCGAACAGGGCAACACGGAUAGAGAAGCCGAACAUCCCUCCUCCGGCGAAAACGGCAUUCCGGACGACCUCACGCCGGAUAAACCUAUGGAGCAGAAGAAUCUCCACGAGAGGCUCAUUGCAACUGCACGCAGCCUAAAAAAGCAGAAGCGGAAGCUAAAAACAGCGGAAGAUGCACUCCGGAUUAGAUGGAGCAAAGUAAUCAAUACCGCAGAUAAAUACGGCGACAGUCGCCGCACUAAAAGCUAUCCGAAAAGAAAGCUACUGCCUGAAUUCGAUGAAGAGGCCCUGGAGCCCUCGCAUUCAAAAAAUGAGCAAGCCACACGGUCGGAUAGACGACCCCGUAAAGCGGCAAGCGGCGCCGCACCUAAAUCGGCAUGCGACCCACUUAAGGAUUCGCAUCAUGGCCCAGUCAGGUCCAUUUAUGGGCCAAGAAAGCAAGCUCUCGUAAGCAACGCUAUGAAGCCAUCAUCAGAAUCCGGCACACCCAAAUACAGGGGCACCGCACACCCCCUAUGUUUCACCGAUGAGGUCCUGGACUAUGAAUUUCCAGAGGGAUUCAAUCCCGUAAACAUAGAGGCAUAUGAUGGUACAACAUACCCUGGAGUUUGGAUCGAGGAUUAUAUCCUCCACAUACACAUGGCUAGAGGAGAUGAUCUCCACGCCAUAAAAUAUUUACCCCUUAAGCUUAAAGGGCAGCCCGGCAUUGGCUUAAAAGCCUUCCCGAAAACACAAUUGGAAGCUGGGAAGAGCUCGAGGAUGCUUUCCGAGCAAACUUUCAAGGGACCUAUGUCCGCCCUCCGGAUGCAGAUGAUCUUAGUCACAUAACUCAGCAACCCGGAGAAUCAGCUCGACAAUUCUGGAAUGAGAGAAGUGCAUAUUUCAACCCUGAACUUUUGGACUAGUCUAAUUUACAACCCCGAACUCCAAUACCGUCUAAACUACAACCCCCAACUCUCAAAACCGGUCAGUAUUCAACCCUCCCCUCUUUGUUGACCGGUUUUGACCAGUCAACAGGUCCAGUCAGCAUGCCACAUCAACAAAAAAUGCAAAAUUUCCAAGGAAACAACCUGUAAAAUCGAAGAAAAUACAGGAAAAGAAAUAAGAAAUCCAAUUUCCGAAAAACACGGAAAAUAAAAAAACGAAUUUCCAAAAAAAAUCCAGAAAAAACCCAAAAGCUCAAAUUCCAGGAAAAAAAUAUUUCUAGAAAAAAAUCAUUUUUUAUUUUCCCUAACUUUUUUCGCGAACAAUUUUUUCGGAAUUUUGCUUUUUUAUAUUUUUUUCCUGAUCUUACAGAUUUUUAUUUUCUUUUUCUUGAAAUUUUGAAAAUAAAUCUCACGUGGCAUGCUGAUUGGACCCGUUGACUAGUCAAAACUAGUCACCCCAGGUCAAAACCGGUCAACAAAGAGGGGAGGGUUGAAUCCUGCCCGGUUUUGAGACUUGGGGGUUGUAAUUUAGACGGUAUUAAAGUUCGGGGUUGUAAAUUAAACUAGGGCAAGAGUUUAGGGUUGAAAUAUGCACUUCUCUCUUCUGGAAUAGAUUCCUCACUAAAAAGAAUCAGAUAGUCGACUGUCCGGAUGCCGAAGCCUUAGCAGGUUUCAGGCAUAACGUCCGAGAUGAAUGGCUCGCCAGACACCUCGGCCAAGAAAAGCCAAGAACAAUGGCCGCACUAACAAGCCUCAUGACCCGCUUUUGUGCAAGGGAGGACAUCUGGUUGGCAAGGUGCAGCCCCAGCGACCCAAGUACAUCCGAAAUUAGGGAUGGAAACGGAAAACCGCGACGCAACAAGGACCGUCGCUGGACUAAGGACAAAAGUCCGAAGAGCACGGCAGUCAAUGCCGGAUUCAAAGGCUCACGACAGAAUCAAGAAAAAUCGCCCCCCAGGAUAACAGGGACGAUCCAUCCAACUUAAAUAAAAUCCUGGACAGGAUAUGUCAGAUACAUAGUACUCCCGGGAAGCCUGCUAACCAUACCCACAGAGAUUGUUGGGUUUUCAAACAAUCCGGCAGACUCAAUGCUGAACACAAGGGGCUCGACACACCAAGCGAAGACGAGGACGAACCCCAAAAGCAGAGCACCAGGAAACAAAACAACUUCCCAUAAGAAGUAAAAACAGUGAACUCACUUCACAUAACAAAACGUGCGGUGCCCGUAAAGGUACGCACCACACGGCCCAUCCCCAAAGGGUCCUGCCACUGUUUGUCAAAACCGUUCAUCUUCGAUCAGCUAGAUUAUUCUAGAAAUAUCAAGAAUGCAGGCUGGACUGCCUUGAUACUCGAUCCAAUAAUUAGCGGACUCCAGUUUUCAAAUGUCCUUAUGGACGGCGGCAGUAGACUAAACCUGAUAUAUUAGGAUACAAUCCAUCACAUGGGGAUAAACCCAGCAAGAAUCCGCCGCAGCAAAACCUCCUUUCAAGGGGUAACACCUGGUCAGGACACCCAUUGUAUGGAUUUCCUCCGUCUUGAAGUCAUAUUCGGCUCUGCCGAUAACUUCCGCCACGAAAAGCUGACUUUCCAUAUCGUCCCGUUCUCAAGUCGCUAUCAAGCACUACUAGGACGUGAAGCUUUCGCUCGCUUUAACGCAAUACCGCAUUAUGCAUCUCUUAUGCUUAAGAUGCCCGGUCCACGAGGCAUCAUCUCUUUGAAGGGGAAGCACUAAAGUGCGCCUCCCCAAGCGGAGGACUGCGCGGCCGCUUUGACAGCCCCACAGCAAAAUGGCCUCACCGGCCAGAAAACUUCGAAAUAGGUCAUUCAAGACCACGAACGCGGAUAGACGAGUUCGGUGCAAAAUCAUCAUUGAUGCAGGCCUAGUGGCCAUAUACCCCCGCACUAGGGGCUCCGCGCAUAUACAAUAAGAGACAAUAAAGCUCAAUAUUAUAUACUCCCUCCGUUCCUCAAUAUAAGGUGUAUUAUUUUUUCAAGAAGUCAAACUUCUCUAAGUUUGACCAAGUUUAUAGACAAAAAUAUCAAUAUCUAGAAUACCAAAUCACUAUCACUAGAUUCAUCAUGAACUAUAUUUUUAUAUUUUAUAUAUUUAGUAUUAUAAAUCUUCAUAUAUUUUGCUGUAAACUUGGUCAAACAUAGAUAACAGUUGACUUUUUGAAAAACUAAUACACCUUAUAUUUAGGAACGGAGGGAGUAUUUUACUUUAUACUUUGUUUAUUUUAAACUUUUUCUGCACGACCCGUUCUCAACUCAGUUCCUCUCUUUUACAGAUGAACGUCGUGCGGCGCCCGUCCAGGAUACGGCACAACGGAGACACAGGCGCAGACGUGCAGUAGGGACCCGUUCUAAAGGAUUCUUUUUAGAUUAAGACCCUGCGUAAACCUUUUUUACUGUCUCUUGUUGCUAUACAUCCCCUGGUUUUUUCUGAUAUAACCAAGGAGGAGGCUGGCGUCUUGGCAUGUGGCCACGUCAGAAUUUUUGCACGUACCUGGACACUAGGGGCUUUUUUAAUAAAGAGUGUUGUUUCACCCGCACUCAUAAAGACCGAACACCUUAGGGAGUGUUCGGCGUCGUGAGUUUUGGCAUUAUAUGCAUCGGCUCCGAAUCAUGUCUUUGGUCAAAUGUUGGGUUGCCCGGCUCCUGAGUUCGGCUACCUUACAUUCCGCUCUAUCGGCUAAGGUAGCACCAGGAGAACUACUGCGAUUGUGCCCCGGUUCAGCCGGGCGAGCACCUCAGUAGAGAAAGCCGAAAACUGACUGUCAUGAUGUAGUGUGAGACUGGUCAGCCACUCGAUGACCUAUCGGAAUCUAUCGGAUUCCUCCGCUUUAACGAAGGGUCGCUUCCCGGUCAGGCACAUACGCGCCCCGAACUCGAGCGAGCGUAGUUGCCACCAAGGGGCUACCUAAAUAAUCUCACUAUCAAGCUCCUAUGGCUAAGUGAAAGUGUUAAAGCAUUAUAGUCCGGUUGCCUGGCCCGCUGCGCUAUCACCUCCUUUGUAGGACCAAGACGUUGGGUUAAGUGUGAAAAUGCGUCUUCUGCGAGCACCCCCGCACUAUGUGCGUGGGGGCUGAAGCCAACGAUUGACAUCUUUCAGAUUAUAUAUAUAUACCUUAAAACGGCCGCACAUGAGGUGUUCCCAAUACUUGAAGGAACAAGUAUAAAAAGGCCACUACAAUUUAUCAAAAUAUUACUUUAUAAUUACAUAUGCUAUCAUAACAUAGCAUCUUUCGAGCACUGCGUCUCUAUUACACGAGCGCCUUCAAGGACUUCCUGAAAAUAGUGCUCGGAGGUACUCGGCUUUUGUCCGAAUCUCGGGACGCAACAAUGGUGGUCUCCAUCUCUGCCCAGUAUGUCUUGACACGGGCAAGAGCCAUCCUUGCGCCCUCUAUGCAUGCUGACCUCUUCAUUGCAUUAAUACGCGACACCGCGUCAAGGAAUUGCUGCACCAAGCUGAAAUAACUCUUCAGCUCCGAUCUCCCCGGCCACAGAUGACCCAUGACGUACUUCAUGGCGAGUCCGGACAACCUAUUCAGUUCGGCCCAUUGAGCCAAAAAAUCAUCCAUUGCCAGCGGACGCUCUGGAUUGUGAAACUGUGACCAGAAAAGCUUUUCCACUUCGCGAUCUUUCUGAUCUCGAAAGUGUUCGGUCGCAUCAGCAGCACUCGCUGCCAAAUCCAGAUAGGUAUCCUCCACACUCCACAUCCGGUCCAACGGAGCAAACUUCGGAUCACAAAAUUUCCGUCGCAGCAUAAAGGGCUUUCCAGCCGCAAUCUGUUCGGCCUGACGCAGCUCCUCCUUCGCAGCUCUCAUCGUAGAGCGCGCGUCCUUGGCAUUGGCAACGGCCUUCUCUAAGUCCGUCUGUUUUGCCUGGUCUUCUUUCUCAAGAAGUCUGCAAUGAUCUGCAGCACUCUUUAACUUUUCGGCCAUCUCGGCCAUCUCUUCCUUGCUUCGGCAAUGAGCAGCCUGUUCGGCUCUCAGCUCUUCAAGGGCUUUCUUGGCAGCCGCAUCACUUUCUCUGGCUUGUUCUUUAGCUCGGGCAAGUUCUGCCCUAAGACUCUCCACGGCGGCCGCACCAUCUGCGUCAAGCACACACAUCGUAAGACACUGGCAUAAAACUCUUCUUACCUGAUGCCGCCCGAGGAAUUACAUACCUUGAGCCUCAUCAAGCCGCUUGUUGACAAGCGCGAUGUCGGCAUCUGCCACGUCUAGUUGCCUCUUUAGUUCGGCAACAUCAUCAGUUUGGCUCGAUUCCGGACACCCUGCCGCCUACAUUCAAAGGCGACAUCUUAGACCUGGGAUUAUGAUCCUCCGUGUGCCGUCAUUUCUUGACGACGCGCAGAGUCUCAGGGGCUACUAUCUACACAUGGCGCAUCUUAUUCAUGCGCAACUGACAAAAGUGUGCAUUAUCUAAUGUACCUCAAAACCCGUCAGUAAACUUUUGAUGGCCUCAUGCAAUCCGCUCUCUGCGGAUGAGAUCCUUUCAAUCACCGUGCCCAUCAAUGCACGGUGCUCCUCCAACAUAGACGCUCGCCCCAGCAAAAUCUUUAGCUCCUCCGGCCGAGCACCAGACGGUGCCGAAGUUGUCCCAUGACCUCUUUCGAAGGCCGGACGCGGAGAACCUCGGGGGGCCACAUAGCUAUCUUCCGCCCCUGCCGGAUUCGGAGAAACCCUCCGCGACGACACCUCAGGGUCGCCCGCCUCGCUAGGCGGCACGGCAGGGGGUGGCGUCCCGCUCUCCAUCAUCUCCGGAAGGAGAUCCCCCGAAGACGAGCUCUGCUGAGAAGUGCUGAGGUCCGAGCUAGAAGGUAAAAAUUCGGUUAAUGUUCUCAAAUCUAAAUCAAGGAUUUCUCUCAUCCCUCAAAAGGAAAAAUCUUUCUCUACUUACGGCUCGCUGGAGGGCUGAUCCCCUUGAGGGCGUAGUCCGGCCGAGGAACUCCCCGGCGUCGGACCCUCUGACGAGGAUUUCCCCCCCCCGCUUCGAGGCCAUGGUUUCUGGGUCGUCAGAGGCGGCUCCCUUCUUCCCCUUAGGAGAGGAAUUGUCGGUUCCUCCCUUCGGAGCAGCCUCCUUCGAGGAGGCCAUAGUUUCCUUGUCCUCCCCCUUGCUUCCCUCCAAAGGCAUUAUCUCCAGCAUCCUGACCAGCACGGGAUCCGGCCUGGUUUCGGGAAGGGGAGCCGGACACCUGAUCAGCUUUGCCUUCGCUAUCCACUCCUGUUUAAAAGGACGGCUCUUUUAGGGGUAAGUUUAUGACAAUUAUACGGAUAGAAGGUCUGGGCACAAGGUUGCUUACUUGAGCAUCCGGGCGAUUGCAGCUUAGGCCUGCGUCCUCGGUAAAAUCCGGACACAUCUCUCAUGAUCCGAAGAACAGUUUAUACAUCUCCACGGGCGUUGCUCCCAUGAAAUUCUGGAGAGCUCGCGGUCCCUCUGGAUUAAACUCCCACAGGCGAAGGGAGCGAUGUUUGCCGGGCAAUUUUCGGCGAAUCAGCAUGACCUACGUCACCUUGACCAGGCUGAGGUCUCCUUCCAAGAGAUCCUUAAUGCAGCCCUGUAACAAGGGCACGUCUUUGGGCAAACCCCAAUCUAACCCUCUGUUGACCCAUGACGCUAGCCCUGGUUGCGGACCCGAGCGAAAGGCAGGAGGCGCCACCCACUUGGUGCUCCGGGGAGCGGUGAUAUAAAACCACUCUCGUUGCCAGAAGCCUAGCUCCUCUUGAAAAGAGCCCUCGGGCCAUGGAGCAUCAGCAUUUUUGCUUAUAACAGCGCCUCCGCACUCUGCGUGCCGUCCCUUGAUCAUCUUCGGCUCCACUUUGAAAGUCUUGAGCCAUAAUCCGAAGUGAGGGGUAACACGGAGGAACGCUUCGCAUACAACGAUAAAUGAGGAGAUAUGGAGGAUGGACUCCGGAGCUAAGUCGUGAAAUUCCAGCCCGUAAUAAAACAGCAGUCCCCUCACAAAGGGAUCCAUCGGGAAGCCUAACCCCCGAAGGAAGUGAGACACGAACACUACGCUCUCACUGGGCUGGGGACUGGGGAUAGCCUGCCUUUGAGCAGGCAACCUGUGCGAAAUUUCGGCGGUCAAGAACUUAUCCUCUCUCAACUUUAGCACGUCCUCCUCCGUGACGGAGGAGGGCAUCCAUCAACCUUGAAGGUCGGAACCGGACAUUGUCGAAGGUCUGAGGCGCCUGAAAUCUGGAGCCUAGGGUGUUGGAACUCGAGGCGACGGGCGAACUCGUUUUGGGAUUGGAGAAAAAAGGCCCUGGUCUCUUUAUAAGAGGUUGAAUACCAGGAGCCCUCCCUGUAACCGUUUGGGACUCGCCUUUAAUCGAGAAAACAUGCUAACGGGCAUGAUUGGGUUACCCACGUCUGUAUGGAUGAGAAUCCCGUGAAAGGGGGCACACGAUCUCUGCUUUGACAAGACGUGCCAAGGAAACUGCCUCGCAAAACACGCUGAGGUGGAAGAGUGAAAACGAUUCGAGUAAAGGACUUGGCUAUAGUGUGAUGACGCACUGCGGAAUACGCCAGCAGAUUUGAUUUGUGUUAAUAUUAUUCUCUCUAUGGCAAUAUGUGGAAGCUUAUUUUGUAGAGCCGAACACUACUCUUGGUGUUUACAAUCUUCUAUGAAGGACUUGGAGGAGGAACCCGCCUUGCAAUGCCGAAGACAAUUUGCGCGCCGGACUCGUCGUCAUUGAAGCUUGGUUCAGGGGCUACUGAGGGAGUCCUGGAUUAGGGGGUGUUCAGGUAGCCGGACUAUACCUUCAGCCAGACUCCUGGAAUAUGAAGAUACAAGAUUGAAGACUUCAUCCCGUGUCCAGAUGGGACUUUCCUUGGCGUGGAAGGCAAGCUUGGCGAUGCGGAUAUUCAAGAUCUCCUACCAUUGUAACCGACUCUAUGUAACCCUAACCCUAUCCGGUGUCUAUAUAAAUCGGAGGGUUGUAGUCCGUAGGCAAUCAACUCCAUAUACAACAAUCAUACCAUAGGCUAGCUUCUAGGGUUUAGCCUCCUUGAUCUCGUGGUAGAUCUACUCUUGUACUACCCAUAUCAUCAAUAUUAAUCAAGCAGGACGUAGGGUUUUACCUCCAUCAAGAGGGCCCGAACCUGGGUAAAACAUCGUGUUCCCUGCCUCCUAUUACCAUCCAGCCUAGACGCACAGUUCGGGACCCACUACCCGAGAUCCGCCGGUUUUGACACCGACACUAGGGAUGGCGGCAUAGGCUAGCUGACGAGCAGACACUGCUCCAGGGGCGAGCUGGCGAGCGGUUGUGGCUCGGGCGGUGCCGUCCAUGGCAGGGACGUGCUGUGGACUCCGGCGUGCCGCCAAGGGGGCUCUGUCGGUGACGCUGUAGGGUGCCAGGGUGGCCUAGAGGGUUCUGGUGAGUGGACGGGAACGAGGCAUGGCCCUGCGGGCGCGCGAAGGCCAGGGGCAAGACGCGGCGGCUCGAUGCGCGCGCGUGCAAAACGUGCGCUCUGGGCACGCCCAGAGCAUGCAUGCCAGGUGCUCGGUGCUAUGCCAAUGCGUCCUAUGCCUCUCUGAUGCCUCUGCAACUAAACAGAACUAGGCUAAUGAUCAUGAGGGAGCCAAUAGACAUGUUGGUAAGGUCACUAGAGCAACUUCCUAAUGCAAGUCUAAUAGCAUGCCAAAACUAGCCAUGCUCCUAACCUGCUCGAUGAAAUGCCAAGGGCAUCUAGGCAUCUCUUGCGGUGGCCAAAAUGUCCAGAUCAUAGUCUCCCUAGAUGCUAAAGAGGGUGGCAGGGUUAGUUGGGCAAAACUAGAAACUUGUUAGUGCAAGUGUUUGAGAAAACCAAAUCUGGACAGAAACUAAAGGGCAUCAUUGCAUGGACCAAAUAUACUCCAAUGGGUCCACUCUCCUGGACUUAAAGUUUUUGUAGGGUGAUCUAUAAGCAGGAAAAAGAAUCAUGGGAAAAAGGGCAAGUUAAAAUAUGGUUGCAGUACAAUUCACCAAGCUGGACCAGAAUGAAGAUGAGGAUGAUCUACUCAAAUUUUUUCAAAGCACAUCAAUGGGUUUUUGCAUAAAGUUGAAUUAUAUACUACUACUAACAACCCAUAAUUUUGGUGGAAGCUUUAAAGAAAUUUUUAAAUAGGUUGUAGUGCAAUUUGGCAAACUGGAGCAGAAUUGAAAACUUGGGGUAGAGCUCAAAAUCUCCAAUGACUAAAAUAUAUUAUUGCAUAAAAGUGAUGUGGAAGCAUCACAUGGCAUCCCCAAAUUUUGGUGAGAAUUUUAAAAGGGUAUUUGAAAGGGUUGCAGUGCAAACUGACUCCAAAACUCAUAAAAAUCCAUUUUAAAAGAAAUAAAGCUCAGGAAAAAUUAAUUAUAUAAAUAAUUCCUUUGGUAAAAAGAAAUGUUUUUCUUGAGAGGGUAUACAAGUCCAAAAAUGCAUUUGGAAAGUUUUCACUUGGGGUAAAAACUCCAUAAUAUCAAAGAAAAGGGUGGUUCUGAAAUCAAAGAAAAUCGAGAAAAUAAAAAUUUAAUUUCCUGGCAAUAUCUCAAUAAACAAAUCAUGUUUAAAUUUUUGGUGUGUUACAUCAAGAAAGUCAAUUACAUGACCCAGUGUCAGCAAUAAUCAUGACCCUGCAUUAUCAGUCAUAACCCGGCAAUUUCGAGGAUCACAACUUGACAAGCUCUAGCAUCAUUAAGCAGGAGUAUUCAAGAACUGGUUUAGCUCUAGAAGAACAUCUUAAGUCCAAUAUUUUUAUUAAUUCAUAGAAUUGAAUGUCGACUCAGAUGGAUUCUUUUUUAUAAUAGUUUUCUACAAGGAAAUUGACUAUGAAGCUGGCCUAUUGAUCUGGACUUUUCAAACGAAGUACCAGGAAUCUUCAGCAUUGGAAAAGUUUGAACAUAUAUGCUAAAAGUGUUUUGCUAUGAAGUCAUGGACACAUACCAAGAAGGAAAUCACAAGUACUUAGGGAUGAUCAGGUGCCGGUUUAGAAAACUUUAACUUGGAUCACAACCUAUCAAAUUUGUUCUUGUGUUUAUUUUGCAGGAUCAGUUUAACAUGGAUAAAUCCAAAUUAAACUUGGGGCUAAUGUCAGGGAUAUACCCCGCCGUAUGACCCGACCGAACUUGGCGACUCACUAAGUGACCCACCCAAAUUUCUCCACUCACUAAUGACCCGGCCGGGCUUGGUGACUCAUUGGUGACCUGGCAGGUGGGUUAGAGGAAUAUCAAGGCCCAAGGCCUAGAAGGCGGCCUAUGAGAAGACCGACUCAAGGUGCGUGUCCGGUGGGCCAGCUUAAAAGGAAAGCAUUAGGAAUAUCCCAUUACAAAGGAAGCAAUACUAGGACUCCACUUGUCAUAGAGUAAUACUAAUCCUACUACACUACAAAAAAACACACUUCCGUGAUGAUACAUGUUUGUCACAGUAGGUCGCGUUUUUUUUGUCAUGCAUGUACAUCCAUGACUAUUUUAUGACAGAAUCAAGAUAGUCUUACAUGUGCUAUCGUAGAAGUGUUCCAUCACAUUACCAAAAUUAUCAUCACGGAAGUAUCCACUUCCAUGAUGAUAAAUCGCAUGUCAUAGAAGUGCUUUCGUCAAGGGUGACCGACACGUGGCAUCCACCGUAACGAAACGAUGUUAAGCUAUCAGGUCCGAUUUUGGAUCGGAUAACCCGUUAACAGCCCCGACCAAUGGGGAUUUUCCACGUGUAAAAUCAUCAUUGGCUGGAGGAAACACGUGUCGUCUCACCGUUGGGACAGAUGUCAUCCACUCAUUGGACCAAGGGAACCUAUUAUACAUCGAGACGUGCCACGGCCCAACAGAGGCCCAUUCCUGUGAAAAGGCCGACCUGUUUGACUUGGUCAAAAAGUGGCAGGCCGGCCACGGAAAGCCCGCUAAUGGCCUGUUCGCAUAUAGCCCAUUUACAGCCCGCUAACACAAUGCCCAUUACGGCCUAUCCGAGUUACGCCCAGUUGCGUCAUCUGGGCCGUCCAAUAUGAUUCCAACCCGUUUAAACUUCCGGCCCAUGUAUGGCCCAUGAUGUCUUUCGGCCCAUAUGAGGCCCUUUGCAACUCUUGGCCCACUAACGGCCCGUGGUGAAACUGGCCAGUAAUGAACAGUGUAUCACUUUAUACCCAUUAACGGCCCAUUAUUCCAUUGGGCCGUUUCCAAUCCAAGUUAUCUUUCGGCCUUCUCAGGGCCCAUUUAUUCUUGGGCUCAUUUCCAGCAUUCGGUUAUGUUAAGGCAUAUCUCUCUAGAUGUAGUUUUGGUGAUUGAUGACAACAUGUUUGCGAACUAAUCGUGUGAUUUGAGCUUUUUAGAGAUUCAUACUUGGCAUGAGAUGAUUUAUUUCCCCUCCGAGUGUUAUUCAAGACGGUGUAGCUCUUUCAUUCUAUUUUGGUGAACUAGUUCCGUAGAAGUCACUGUACUAUCAAGAGGGGGUCCGCUUUGGUAAGGCUAGGGUGGAAUCAACACGUACACAUCCUUUUCACACCCUUUGAGCCUUUCCACUUCAAUGGAGAGCUCUUUCCCCUUUCUUUGUGCAUCGUCUGGUCCCAGUGGUAGUACUGCGGUGUUGGAAAUAUGCCCUAGAGGCAAUAAUAAAAGUAUUAUUAUUAUAUUUCCUUGUUCAUGAUAAUUGUCUUUUAUUCAUGCUAUAACUGUAUUAUCCGGAAAUCGUAAUACACGUGUGAAUACAUAGACCACAAUAUGUCCCUAGUGAGCCUCUAGUUGACUAGCUCGUUGUGAUCAACAGAUAGUCAUGGUUUCCUGGCUAUGGACAUUGGAUGUCGUUGAUAACGGGAUCACAUCAUUAGGAGAAUGAUGUGAUGGACAAGACCCAAUCCUAAGACUAGCACAAAAGAUCGUGUAGUUCAUUUGCUAGAGCUUUGCCAAUGUCAAGUAUCUCUUCCUUCGACCAUGAGAGCGUGUAACUCCUGGAUACCGUAGGAGUGCUUUGGGUGUAUCAAACGUCACAACGUAACUGGGUGACUAUAAAGGUGCACUACAGGUAUCUCCGGAAGUAUCUAUUGUUUUAUGCGGAUCGAGACUGGGAUUUGUCACUCCGUGUAAACGGAGAGGUAUCUCUGGGCCCACUCGGUAGGACAUCAUCAUAUGCGCAAUGUGACCAAGGAGUUGAUCACGGGAUGAUGUGUUACGGAACGAGUAAAGUGACUUGCCGGUAACGAGAUUGAACAAGGUAUUGGAUACCGACGAUCGAAUCUCGGGCAAGUAACAUACCGCUAGACAAAGGGAAUUGUAUACGGGAUCGACUGAGUCCUUGACAUCGUGGUUCAUCCGAUGAGAUCAUCGUGGAACAUGUGGGAGCCAACAUGGGUAUCCAGAUCCCGCUGUUGGUUAUUGACCGGAGAACGUCUCGGUCAUGUCUACAUGUCUCCCGAACCCGUAGGGUCUACACACUUAAGGUUCGAUGACGCUAGGGUUAUAAAGGAAGUUUGUAUGUGGUUACCGAAUGUUGUUCGGAGUCCCGGAUGAGAUCCCGGACGUCACGAGGAGUUCCGGAAUGGUCCGGAGGUAAAGACUUAUAUAUGGGAAGUCCUAUUUUGGCCACCGGAAAAUGUUCAGGUUUUUUCGGUAUUGUACCGGGAAGGUUCUAGAAGGUUCCGGAGUGGGGCCCACCUGCAUGGGGGGACCCACAUGAACGUGCGUAGUGGGGGCAAGGCCCCACACCCCUGGGCAAGGCGCAACAAGAUCCCCCCUUAGAAGGAAUAAGAUCAUAUCCCGAAGGGAUAAGAUCAAGAUCCCUAAAAAGGGAUAACAAUCGGUGGGGAAGGAAAUAAUGAGAUUUCUUUCCUCCCACCUUGGCCAACGCCCCAAUGGACUUGGAGGGCAAGAAACCAGCCCCUCCACCCCUAUAUAUAGUGGGGAGGCGCAUGGGAGCUAUAGACGAAGUUCUGGCGCAGCCCUCCCCCUCUCACAAGUACUCCUCCUCUCCCGCGGUGCUUGGCGAAGCCCUGCAGGAUUGCCACGCUCCUCCACCACCACCACGCCGUUGUGCUGCUGCUGGAUGGAGUCUUCCUCAACCUCUCCCUCUCUCCUUGCUGGAUCAAGGCUUGGGAGACGUCACCGGGCUGUAUGUGUGUUGAACGCGGAGGUGCCGUGCGUUCGACACUUGAUCAUCGGUGAUUUGAAUCACGACGAGUACGACUCCAUCAACCCCGUUCACUUGAACGCUUCCGCUUAGCGAUCUACAAGGGUAUGUAGAUGCACUCUCUUUCUACUCGUUGCUGGUCUCUCCAUAGAUAGAUCUUGGUGACACGUAGGAAAAUUUUGAAUUUCUGCUACGUUCCCCAACAGUGGCAUCAUGAGCUAGGUCUAUUGCGUAGAUUCUUUGCACGAGUAGAACACAAAAUAGUUGUGGGCGUUGAUUUUGUUCAAUAUGCUUACCGUUACUAGUCCAAUCUUGUUUCGACGGUAUUGUGGGAUGAAGCGGCCCGGACCGACCUUACACGUACUCUUACGUGAGACAGGUUUCACCGAUUGACAUGCACUUGGUGCAUAAGGUGGCUAGCGGGUGCCAGUCUCUCCCACUUUAGUCGAAACGGAUUCGAUGAAAAGGGUCCUUAUGAAGGAUAAAUAGAAAUUGACAUAUCACGUUGUGGUUUUGCGUAGGUAAGAAACGUUCUUGCUAGAAACCCAUAGCAGCCACGUAAAACAUGCAAACAACAAUUAGAGGACGUCUAACUUGUUUUUGCAGGGUAUGCUAUGUGAUGUGAUAUGGACAACAAGAAUGUGAUGAAUGAUAUGUGAUGUACGAGAUUGAUCAUGUUCUUGUAAUAGGAUUCACGACUUGCAUGUCGAUGAGUAUGACAACCGGCAGGAGCCAUAGGAGUUGUCUUUAUUCAUUGUAUGACCUGCGUGUCAUUGAACAACGCCAUGUAAUUACUUUACUCUAUUGCUAACCGGUAGCCAUAGUAGUAGAAGUAAUAGUUGGCGAGACAACUUCAUGAAGACACGAUGAUGGAGAUCAUGGUGUCAUGCCGGUGACGAUGAUGAUCACGGAGCCCCGAAGAUGGAGAUCAAAAGGAGCAAAAUGAUAUUGGCCAUAUCAUGUCACUAUUUGAUUGCAUGUGAUGUUUAUCAUGUUUAUGCAUCUUGUUUACUUAGGACGACGGUAGUAAAUAAGAUGAUCCCUUACAACAAUUUCAAGAAGUGUUCUCCCCUAACUGUGCACCGUUGCUACAGUUCGUCGCUUCUAAGCACCACGUGAUGAUCGAGUGUGAUGGAUUCUUACGUUCACAUACAACGGGUGUAAGACAGUUUUACACAGCGAAAACACUUAGGGUUAACUUGACGAGCCUAGCAUGUGCAGACAUGGCCUCGGAACAUGGAGACCGAAAGGUCGAGCAUGAGUCGUAUAGUAGAUACGAUCAACAUGAAGAUGUUCACCGAUGAUGACUAGUCCGUCUCACGUGAUGAUCGGACACGGCCUAGUUGACUCGGAUCAUGUAAUCACUUAGAUGACCAGAGGGAUGUCUAUCUGAGUGGGAGUUCAUAAGAUGAACUUAAUUAUCCUGAACAUAGUCAAAAGACCUUUUGCAAAUUAUGUCGUAGUUCACGCUAUAGUUCUACUGUUUUAGUUAUGUUCCUAGAGAAAAUAUAGUUGAAAGUUGACAGUAGCAAUUAUGCGGACAGUAGAAAGCUUAUGUCCUUAAUGCACCGCUCAGUGUGCUGAACCCCAAACGUCGUUUGUGGAUGUUGCGUACAUCGGACAUACACGUUUUGAUAACUACGUGAUAGUUCAGUUAAACGGUUUAGAGUUGAGGCACCAAAGACGUUUUCGAAACGUCACGGAACAUAUGAGAUGUUUCGAGGGCUGAAAUUGGGAUUUCAGGCUCGUGCCCACGUCAAGAGGUAUAAGACCUCCGACGAUUUUCUUAGCCUGCAAACUAAGGGAGAAAAGCUCAAUCGUUUAGCUUGUGCUCAGAUUGUCUGAGCACAACAAUCACUUGAAUCGAGUGGGAGUUGAUCCUCCAGAUGAGAUAGUGAUGUUUCCCCAAAGUCAUUGCCACCAAGCUGCUAGAGCUUCAUGAUUAACUAUAACAUAUCAGGGAUAGAUAUGAUGAUCCUUGAAAUAUUCAUGAUGUUUGACACCGCGAAAGUAGAAAUCAAGAAGGAGCAUCAAUUGUUGAUGGUUGGUGAAACCACUAGUUUCUAGAAGGGCAAGGGAACAAAGGGAUACUUCAUGAAACGGCAAUUCAGCUGCUGCUCUAGUGAAGAAACCCAAGGUUGAACCCAAACCCGAGACUAAGUGCUUCUGUAAUAAGGGGAACAACCACUGGAGCAGCAUUACCCUAGAUACUUGGUAGAUGAGAAGGCUGGCAAGGUCGAUAGAAGUAUAUUGGAUAUACAUUAUGUUAAUGUGUACUUUACUAGUACUCCUAGUAGCACCAGGGUAUUGGAUACCGGUUCGGUUGCUAAGUGUUAGUAACUCGAAAUAAAAGCUACGGAAUAAACGGAGACUAGCUAAAGGUGAGCUGACGAUAUAUGUUGGAAGUGUUUCCAAGGUUGAUAUGAUCAAGCAUCGCACGCUCCCUCUACCACCGAGAUUGGUGUUUGCGUUGAGCAUAGACAUGAUUGGAUUAUGUCUAUCGCAAUACGGUUAUUCAUUUAAGGAGAAUAAUGGUUACUCUAUUUUCGAAUAAUACCUUCAAUGGUCUUGCACCUAAAGGAAUGGUUUAUUGAAUCUCGGUCGUAGUGAUACACAUUUUCAUGCCAAAAGAUAUAAGAUAGUAAUGAUAGUACCACUUACUUGUGGCACUGCCAUGUAAGUCAUAAUGGUAUAAAACGCAUGAAGAAGUUCCAUGUUGAUGGAUCUUUGGACUCACUCGUUUUUGAAAAGUUUGAGACAUGCGAACCAUGUCUAUUGGUGUAUAUGCAUGAAGAAACUCCAUGCAAAUGGAUCGUUCGGACUCACUUGAUUUUGAAUCACUUGAGAUAUGAAAAUCAUACCACAUGGGCAAGAUGACUGAAAAGCCUCAUUUUUAGUAAGAUGGAACAAGAUAGCAACUUGUUGGAAGUAACACAUUUUGAUGUGUGCAGUCGAAUGAGUGCUGAGGCAUGCAGUGAAUAUCAUUAUGUUCUUACUUCACAGAUGAUUCGAGUAAAUGUUGAGUAUAUUUACUUGAUGAAACACAAGUCUGAAUUAUUGAAUGGUUCAAGUAAUUUCAGAGUGAAGUAGCAGAUCAUUGUGACAAGAGGAUAAAAUGUCUAUGAUAUGAUCAUAGAGAUGAAUAUCUGAGUUACGAGUUUUGGCACACAAUUAAGACAAUGUGGAAAUUGUUUCGCAAUUAAUACCGCCUGGAACACCAUAAUGUGAUGGUGUGUCCGAACAUCAUAGUUGCACCCUAUUGGAUAUGGUGCGUACCAUGAUGUCUCUUAUCGAAUUACCACUAUCGUUCAUGGGUUAGGCAUUAGAGACAACCACAUUCACUUUAAAUAGGGCACCACGUAAUUCCGAUGAGAUGACACCGUAUGAAUUAUGGUUUAGAGAAACCUAAGUUGUCGUUGCUUAAAAGUUUGGGGCUGCGAUGCUUAUAUGAAAAAGUUUCAGGUUGAUAAGCUCGAACCCAAAGCGAAUAAAAUGCAUCUUCAUAGGAAACCCAAAACAGUUGGGUAUACCUCCUAAUUCAGAUCCGAAAGCAAUAUGGAUUGUUUCUAGAAUCGGGUCCUUUCUCGAGGAAAAGUUUCUCUCGAAAGAAUUGAGUGGGAGGAUGGUGGAGACUUGAUGAGGUUAUUGAACCGUAUCUUCAACUAGUGUGUGACAGGGCACAGGGAGUUGUUCCUGUGGCACCUACACCAAUUGAAGUGGAAGCUUAUGAUAUUGAUCAUGAAACUUCGGAUCAAGUCACUCCCAAACCUCGUAGGAUGACAAGGAUGCGUACUACUUCAGAGUGGUACGUAAUCCUGUCUUGAAGGUCAUGUUGCUAGACAACAAUGAACCUACGAGCUAUGGAGAAGCGAUGGUGGGCCCGGAUUCCGAUAAAUGGCUUGAGGCCAUAAAAUCCGAGAGAGGAUCCAUGUAUGAAAACAAAGUGUAGACUUUGGCAGAACGGCUCGAUGGUUGUAAGGCUAAUGAGUACAGAUGGAUUUCAAAAGGAAGACGGACAAUGAUGGUAAAUGUCACCAUUAAGAAAGCUCGACUUGUCGUUAAGAUGUUUUCCGACAAGUUCAAGGAGUUGACUACGAUGAGAUUUUCUCACUCGUAGCGAUGCUAAGAGUCUGUUGGAAUUAUAUUAGCGAUUACUGCAUUAUUUAUGAAAUCUUGCAGAUAGGAUGUCAAAACAUUGUUUCCUCGACGAUUUUAAUGAGGAAAGGUUGUAUGUGAUACAACCGGAAGGUUUUGUCAAUCCCGAAAGAUGCUAAUAAGUAUGCAAAGCUCCAGCAAUCCUUCUAAGGACUGGAGUGAGCAUCUCGGAGUUGGAAUGUAUGCUUCGAUGAUGAUCAAAAAUUUUGGGUUUGUACAAAGUUUAUGAGAAACUUGUAUUUCCAAAGAAGUGAGUGGGAGCACUAUAGAAUUUCUGAUGAGUAUAUGUUGUUGACAUAUUGUUGAUCAGAAAUGACGUAGAAUUUCUGGAAAGCAUAUAGGGUUAUUUUGAAAGUGUUUUUCAAUGGAAAGCCUGGAUUAAGCUACUUGAACAUUGAGCAUCAAGAUCUAUAAGGAUAGAUCAAAAUGCUUAAUAAUACUUUCAAAUGAGCACAUACCUUGACAUGAUCUUGAAGGUGUUCAAGAUGGACCAGUCAAAGAAGGAGUUCUUGCCUGAGUUGUAAGGUACGAAGUUAAGACUUAAAGCUCGACCACGGCAGAAUAGAGAGAAAGGACGAAGAUCGUCCCCUAUGCUUAAGACGUAGGCUCUUCAGUAUGCUAUGCUGUGUACCGCACCUGAAGUGUGCCUUGCCAUGAGUCAGUCAAGGGGUACAAGAGUGAUCCAAGAAUGGCUCACAGGACAGCGGUCAAAGUUAUCCUUAGUAACUAGUGGACUAAGGAAUUUUCUCGAUUAUGGAGGUGGUAUAAGAGUUCGUCGUAAAGGUUACGACGAUGCAAGCUUGACACCUAUCCGGAUAGCUCUGAGUAGAGAGACCGGAUACAUAUAAUGGAGCAAUAAUUUAGAAUAGCUCCAAGUAGAACAGUUGUUUGGAAUAGCUCCAAAUAGAGCGUGGUAGCUGCAUCUAGGAGAUGACAUAGAGAUUUGUAAAGCACACGGAUCUGAAAGGUUCAGACCCGUUGACUAAAACCUCUCUCACAAGCAACAUGAUCAAACAUAAAACUCAUUGAGUGUUAAUCACAUAGUGAUGUGAACUAGACUACUGACUCUAGUAAACUCUUGGGUAUUAGUCACAUGGCGAUGUGACCUGUGAGUGUUAAUCACAUGGCGAUGUGAACUAGAUUAUUGACUCUAGUGCAAGUGGGAGACUGUUGGAAAUAUGCCCUAGAGGCAAUAAUAAAAGUAUUAUUAUUAUAUUUCCUUGUUCAUGAUAAUUGUCUUUUAUUCAUGCUAUAACUGUAUUAUCCGGAAAUCAUAAUACACGUGUGAAUACAUAGACCACAAUAUGUCCCUAGUGAGCCUCUAGUUGACUAGCUCGUUGUGAUCAACAGAUAGUCAUGGUUUCCUGGCUAUGGGCAUUGGAUGUCGUUGAUAACGGGAUCACAUCAUUAGGAGAAUGAUGUGAUGGACAAGACCCAAUCCUAAGACUAGCACAAAAGAUCGUGUAGUUCAUUUGCUAGAGCUUUGCCAAUGUCAAGUAUCUCUUCCUUCGACCAUGAGAGCGUGUAACUCCUGGAUACCGUAGGAGUGCUUUGGGUGUAUCAAACGUCACAACGUAACUGGGUGACUAUAAAGGUGCACUACAGGUAUCUCCGAAAGUAUCUAUUGUUUUAUGCGGAUCGAGACUGGGAUUUGUCACUCCGUGUAAACGGAGAGGUAUCUCUGGGCCCACUCGGUAGGACAUCAUCAUAUGCGCAAUGUGACCAAGGAGUUGAUCACAGGAUGAUGUGUUACGGAACGAGUAAAGUGACUUGCCGGUAACGAGAUUGAACAAGGUAUUGGAUACCGACGAUCGAAUCUCGGGCAAGUAACAUACCGCUAGACAAAGGGAAUUGUAUAUGGGAUCGACUGAGUCCUUGACAUCGUGGUUCAUCCGAUGAGAUCAUCGUGGAACAUGUGGGAGCCAACAUGGGUAUCCAGAUCCCGCUGUUGGUUAUUGACCGGAGAACGUCUCGGUCAUGUCUACAUGUCUCCCAAACCCGUAGGGUCUACACACUUAAGCUUCGAUGACGCUAGGGUUAUAAAGGAAGUUUGUAUGUGGUUACCGAAUGUUGUUCGGAGUCCCGGAUGAGAUCCCGGACGUCACGAGGAGUUCCGGAAUGGUCCGGAGGUAAAGACUUAUAUAUGGGAAGUCCUAUUUUGGCCACCAGAAAAUGUUCAGGUUUUUUCGGUAUUGUACCGGGAAGGUUCUAGAAGGUUCCGGAGUGGGGCCCACCUGCAUGGGGGGACCCACAUGAACGUGGGUAGUGGGGGCAAGGCCCCACACCCCUGGUCAAGGCGCAACAAGAUCCCCCCUUAGAAGGAAUAAGAUCAUACCCCGAAGGGAUAAGAUCAAGAUCCCUAAAAAGGGGGGAUAACAAUCGGUGGGGAAGGAAAUAAUGAGAUUUCUUUCCUGCCACCUUGGACAACGCCCCAAUGGACUUGGAGGGCAAGAAACCAGCCCCUCCACCCCUAUAUAUAGUGGGGAGGCGCAUGGGAGCUAUAGACGAAGUUCUGGCGCAGCCCUCCCCCUCUCACAAGUACUCCUCCUCUCCCGCGGUGCUUGGCGAAGCGCUGCAGGAUUGCCACGCUCCUCCACCACCACCACACCGUUGUGCUGCUGCUGGAUGGAGUCUUCCUCAACCUCUCCCUCUCUCCUUGCUGGAUCAAGGCUUGGGAGACGUCACCGGGCUGUAUGUGUGUUGAACGCGGAGGUGUCGUGCGUUCGACACUUGAUCAUCGGUGAUUUGAAUCACGACGAGUACGACUCCAUCAACCCCGUUCACUUGAACGCUUCCGCUUAGCGAUCUACAAGGGUAUGUAGAUGCACUCUCUUUCUACUCGUUGCUGGUCUCUCCAUAGAUAGAUCUUGGUGACACAUAGGAAAAUUUUGAAUUUCUGCUACGUUCCCCAACACGCGGUGCCCAGUGGUAGUACCGCUUAGGAGUCAUAGGCGGCACUACCGCUCUGUAGAAGUAGUACUGCCGGUGGGUCCUCAGCCGUAGUACCGCUGCGGUUACCAGGCUCCUACCGUGUCGAUUCGAGGGUGCCGCUUCUCGUGUCGGAUUGUGCGGCACUAAGCAGCGGCAGUAGAGCGGUAGUGCCGCUCACGAGCGGUAGUACCGCCCUACCACGGCGGCAGUACAACACUAGGCCCCUCUCUUGUUCUCUCUCCGGCCCUCCCAGACUGCAUGGCAGUAACGCCUAGGGGAGCGGUAGUACCGCUAUGCCCAGCGGUAGUACCGUUGCCUCCUGCGGUAGUACCGCCCUCUACUGGGAUGCUUUGGGGGGUAACGGUUGGAUUGUUCCCCCCACUAUAUAAGGGGGUCUUGACGGUGUCCUGGACUAGGGGGUACUCACCACGUCAUCUCCCGAUCUAUUAGAUUGGGCCAAGGACCGCCAUGGCCGUAUACUCAUGGGCCAGUCCAGACAGCUGCCGCAUACAAGGAAGAUUCCACAAGACUUGGCAAUCAAGACAAGGACUCCUCCCCACCGGCGUAUUCGGCUAGGACUCUUGUUAUCCUAGGCCUCUGGUGCAUUAUAUAAACCGAGGCUAGGCUAGUCGAUAGAACAACAUACAACAAUCAUACCAUAGGCUAGCUUCUAGGGUUUAGCCUCCUUGAUCUUGUGGUAGAUCUACUCUUGUACUACCCAUAUCAUCAAUAUUAAUCAAGCAGGACGUAGGGUUUUACCUCCAUCAAGAGGACCCGAACCUGGGUAAAACUUCGUGUCCCUUGUCUCCUGUUACCAUCCGCCUAGAUGCACAGUUCGGGACCCCCUACCCGAGAUCCGCCGGUUUUGACACCGACAUUGGUGCUUUCAUUGAGAGUUCCGCUAUGUGAUCGGCAAAAGGAUCGAUGGCUCGCCUGCAGAUCAACUGCGACUUCAGCAUCUACGUCACCAGCUCGACUGGUCACCUUGGUUCGACCAAGGACUGCGCCCUACCUUCGAUCGUCAUGUUCGGAUGAGGGCCUUCAUCAACAUCAGCUCCAAUCUCUAUCGAGCUCAUGGAGGAAUCAUCCAUGGAGCUCGAGGGCUCAACGUCAACAUUGCCCUCGGGCAGCCGUGCUUUUUUUCUGGACAGCGAAAUUGUAUCCGCCGUCACCGCCUCCUUGAGCAUCGGUUUGACGAUCUCUUCGUUGGAAUAGUGCGGAAUUACAUCUACAACAGCCAUGCAAAAUUUCGUCGAGUUCCGAUGGAUGAAUCUCCGACAAUCUACGAUAUACCGGAGCCCUGUCAAAUCUGGACGGGAAUCUGGACGAGUUUAGGGCGUGGUCUCUAGAGCCCAUCUCGGAGGUCCUUUGGAAGAUCCAACCGUUCAUCUACUGUGGAAUUCCCAUAUCUACCACCCCUCCAAAUUUCAGCUUGAUCCGACCGUCCAAACUCCGGGAACCUUCUGAUUAGUUCAUCAUUUUUCGGAUCUGUUUACUGCGCGAGAACGAAUCCCACCCGAAUUCAUCUUUUUUAUGAACGGGAUUUCGGACAUCCUUUUUGAAGAAAGUUUUGUAUGGGGUAUUAUGUUUUGUUCCCAAACACAUCCCGCUAAUUGUGAAGUCUUUUCCAACAUGAUCUUCACCAUUAUGCUGGUGUCAAACCAGUCCGGUAAUAUUGCUCCAAGGCUGCCAACCUGACACGUCGUCGCUUUGCUAAGUCGAGCUCAACUUCUUCGGAUCAUCAUAUCGGCAAGCCGAACAAGAGUUUGGCAUCGUGAAGGAUAAAUCAUCACCAACGUCACCGCUCCACGGAUUACCCGGAGCGAGCACACCGGCAUCGCCGCAGGGUCACUUCAUCAAUCCAGCAUUGGCCACGCCACGACCUGCAUCGACAGGGCCGCACUGUUGCUCCUUCAAGUCGGUGUCCAUCACGCCGACCUACUUCGACAUCUUGGCUGGACCGGGGGCUUCGCCAUCUCUUCAUCAACCUACUCCGGAGACUUCAGCGUCACUAGCCGACCAGCUCCGUCACGUUAGCUAGGCCGAGGGCUUUGCCUUGGCGAGCCAACCUUUGCCAGCAUCGCCCUGUCGUCGCUUUAUCGCCCAUCAGGCAAUGGGUGUGCGGAUCGAGUCCCAAUUUUGGGAAUCACCUUUCUUCGGAUUGCUACAACAAAUAAACCAGGUGCUAUUAAUCCUAGUAUUUUUCGCUUGUUUGGGUUCAUUUUUCCCAAGGAAUUAUUACUCUGGUUUGUCCAUCAUCUGUACACAGGUCUAUCAAAUGAUGGCCGCAUUAACGACGGUCGCGUGGUAGUUCGGUCAGUUUCCGUACAUAGUCCGGCGAAAUGCUGUAUCCAGAACUCGGACCGACCUGUGAAUUCAGGCUUUACCACGCCUUUAUCACAUCACGCCGAUGCCCUGCAUCGACAUUGACUUCGGCGCCAGGCCAUAUUUCUUUUAUUACUCACUUUGCAUAAAUUAUUUAUUAUGCAACAAUUUUUUUAAUUAUCAUUAUUACUAUUAUCUCCGGUUUGCACUAUUUUUUCUGCGCAGGAAAAUGAUCCGGGGACUUCGGCGUCACUCUGCCGGUCUGCAUUGACCGUGCUAUGUCACCACUUCGGCGUGUUGAGCUCUCCGCGCCGCCACGGGACCGGCUUGGGGGAUGGAACCUUGCCCCGCAUCAAGCUUGGACCGCGUCAUCAAUACCGAACACAUUAACCAGCUAAGUCGCUUUCAUGCUCAAAGCUUUAAUUUCUAACUUGUGUUCGGUUCGACCAAGCAUUAUACUUUUUUGGAAAAAAGUUGCUUGUAAAAAAUUUCCUUGUCCAAACUUUGUUUGUGACGCAUAAAUUCAAAUACCCAAUUCAUUUGGGGGCUUCCUUCAUGAAGCUUUUCCUCUUGCAUAUGAUUAUACUUGUACGGCUUCGUUCCUUGUUCGUGUAUUACGCCACAAUAUGCACCAUAUUGACUUAAGUGAUUUGCAAGCUGGGUUGCCUCGCUCCUGUGUUUACCCCUACGUUCCCGAUUGUUCGGCUAGGGAGUAAAGGGAGCACCUUUGCGAUUGUCACGAUCGAGUCACCCGAGCCGGACCUCAGACUGGGUGAAGCUGAAAGCUAGCGCUCUUAUAGUUUUCAUUGAUGGUCGGCACACAACGGAACUCAUGAGUACAAAAAAUCUAUUGCACAAGUCUCAUAAUAACAAUGAGCACCGAAGAAAGGUAUCGGUGGGGGUACUAUUUUCUUCGAAGAUGCUUCUUACACUUCGCAGUAAUAUAGCAUAAGUUCCCUGAGCGCGCUUUGUCUGUUACAGCCUUAUGGCCUGAUUGCCUGGUUAUUGGAAACACCAUCGAUAUUCUUGACAGAUGGAGUACAUAACACUUUUUGGUCCUUGACCGAAGAGGGAGAAGCCGACGGUCGGUUAAGACGCGUUUAAAGUUCGGUUGAACAUAGAUAUGAUAUAAGUACUUCAGUACAUGCAAUCGUUCUUUUACCCAAGUCACUUGGGGGCUCUUAAAUUUAUAUGGCCGUUUUAUGAUAAGUGUUCUUCUUCUUAGUUGUUGCCAAGUUUUUAUUACUAUUAUUAUUCAUCACUCCUUUUUUCGACACGAGUGUGUGGUCACUAGCCGGGGAGCCUAAUUUCUCCCUCACAGCCGCUAGAGUUUAGUUUGCUAAACUGGCCUAAUGAGAAGUACUCCGCCCUCGGGAUAGGAGGUUGAAGCCGUUGGCUGACCCGCUUAAAGUCUUGAGAUAGGAUGUGUCAUGUUAAAGCACGACAGAAGCACUCUUUUUUUUCGAAGACCAAUUUUUGGAUUGGCACCGAACACUUGAUCUUGUUCGGACAUCAUGUUUUUACUAACGUUUCUUGGUUUUCCAAGCUUUUUGGCACUUUUAAACUGUUUGUGUGUUUUCAGCACAAGUCUCGCAGUGCAAUGCCGGACACCUUUAGAGUUUCGGUAAAAACAUUCUCGGAUAUUGCUAUAUAUGCAUCGGUUUCGAAUUGUGUCUUCGGUCAAUAGUUGGGUUGCCCGGCUCCUGCACUUGCUUCCUACGUUCCGCUUUGUUUGGAUAGGCGUGCAAAGGGAGAACCACUGCGAUUGUGCUUUCAGCUCACAUGGUUAAGCACCUCGGUGGAGAAAGCCGAAAACUGACUGUCACAAUAAGCGUAAACUGGUCAGCGAUCCGAUGACUGUGUUAAAUGACGGGCCAUUAAUAACAAGCCGAAGUGUUUACGGCUUGACCUCGACUGUCGCCGAACACUACCGGGGGCUAUUAACUAGCCUCCCAAACUAAAUCCUCGAUAUUUUGCUCUUACACUGGAGCUGAGGUUUCAUGAUCAUGCUUAGCAUGACAACCCAAAUAAAGGAACUGAUAGCGGGACUAUUUUCUUUGGAAGACAUUUCUUCUGUUAAAUAGUAAUAUAACAUAUCUCUCUGCGUACCUUUGUUUAUAAAACCGUAUGGCCAGAUUGCCUUGUUUGUCGUAAAUCUUUGCCCUCGUAAAGGAUUUAUAAAGUAGGACAAACACUCCUCGGCUACUGGCCGAGGAGGUGGAAGCCGAUGGUCGGUCAACAAAGUUUUGUACAAUGCGGAUCCAAGCAUUAAUGACGUUAAGUACUUGGAUACAUAGAGUCAUUACACAUAAUUUGUGAUUUUACUAUGGAUAUCAAUCCUUAAUUCGGCCACCCGUGCCCGCAUUAAGGCUCGGGGGCUACUGGGCUUCGGGCUUAUUAUUUACAAAUAUUAAAGGGGCACAUCGAUCCCCUGAUCUGGUGUUGCCACCUGACCAGUGUCUCGGGGGCUACUGCAUUGCCUGUUCAAUACAGAAAAUUUUAUGUGCAAUAUAGUUUCCGUGGAGAUUUUGAUCCUCAGGUUGGUCGGCCGCACCCAACCUGAGUCUCGAGGACUGAGCACGCUGCUUUUAGUGUCCCGGAGUAUUCUGCCGAGCUAGGACUUGAUCCUCGGGUCGAUUUUGCAAAUCAACCUGAGUCUCAGCGGCUACUGGGAUCAGCGGUCUUAUGUCAUCCUUCAUGUGCAUCUCGGGUUUUAGACCGAUACCCACCUUGAGGGCUACUGGCUAUAUAUCUCGGCAGAGAAUAAAUUGCACCAAUCAAAAAUAUUGACAAAAAUCGGCCCACAUUCGAGGUGGUGCACCACCUCAGAAGCAGUCCGGCAUAAAGCUCGGGCGCUAGUGGCUGGCUCCAUAGAGGGCAUUUCAGGCAUUAAGCUCGGCUAAACUCCUUCAAACUUCUUUGAACCAAGGUGAUUUACGACACCUCGGAUACAGUCCGACGUUGGAGCUCGGAUACAUAGUCCGGCAUUGGAGCUCGGAUACAUUCCGGCAUUAGAGCUGGGAAGCAGUCCGGCGUUGGUGCCCGACUGCAAAAUAUACCUCGAAUGCAGUCUGGCGUUGGAGCUCGGACGCAAGAGGACACUGCCUCCCGGGAAGAACUUCAAACCCGAGGCGUGGCAUAAAAAUAACAAGGCAUUGAUAAAGGCCGGAGACUUAAAGGGGCCCCUCGGAUACCCGACGUGUAAACUCGUCGAAUGCAUUUCGGCGAUCCUCAAGAUCAAAGAUGAGAAGAUUUGUUGAACCAGUUUUCAAGACCGGCGACCGGCGACCGAAGAUGAAGAACAGUUCGGAAGAAUCGAGGAGCGUCCCUAACUUUAAGACCGGUUCAGGGGGCUACUAACGGUGUCCUGGACUAGGGGGUACUCACCACGUCAUCUCCCGAUCUAUUAGAUUGGGCCAAGGACCCCCAUGGCCGUAUACUCAUGGGCCAGUACGGACAGCUGCCGCAUACAAGGAAGAUUCCACAAGACUUGGCAAUCAAGAUAAGGACUCCUCCCCACAGGCGUAUUCGGCUAGGACUCUUGUUAUCCUAGGCCUCUGGUGCAUUAUAUAAACCGAGGCUAGGCUAGUCGAUAGAACAACAUACAACAAUCAUACCAUAGGCUAGCUUCUAGGGUUUAGCCUCCUUGAUCUUGUGGUAGAUCUACUCUUGUACUACCCAUAUCAUCAAUAUUAAUCAAGCAGGACGUAGGGUUUUACCUCCAUCAAGAGGGCCCGAACCUGGGUAAAACUUCGUGUCCCUUGUCUCCUGUUACCAUCCACCUAGACGCACAGUUCGGGACCCCCUACCCGAGAUCCGCCGGUUUUGACACCGACAGGUCUUCUUCCCCAAAGUUGACCUACCUAUUCCAACCCCAUGCUCCAUUGUUGCUCCAAGCUCCAUUUUCGCCCGAUCUCUCUCCCUAGCCAAUCAAACUUGUUGAUUUUCUAGGGAUUGGUUGAGAUGGCCCCGAUAUACACUUCCACCAAGAGAAAUUUGAUUCGCCCAUUAAUCCCUUGCGGAUCUUGUUACUCCUGGGUGUUUGAGCACCCUAGACAGUUGAGGUCACCGCGGAGCCAUAGUCCAGUGUGGUGAAGCUUCGUGGUGUCGUUGGGAGCCUCCAAUUAAGUUGUGGAGAUUGCCCCAACCUUUUUUGUAAAGGUCCGGUCGCCGCCUCCAAGGGCACCAAUAGUGGAAUCAUGGGAUCUCUCAUUGUGUGAGGGCGUGAGGAGAAUACGGUGGCCCUAGUUGCUUCUUGGGGAGCAUUGUGCCUCCACACCACUCCAACGGAGACGUACUUCCCCUCAAAAGGAAGGAACUUUGGUAACACAUCCUUGUCUUCACUAGCUUAUUUGUGUGGUAUCUCUUGCUUGCUAGUGUGCUAGUUGUUGUUGCAUCAUAAAGGUUGCUCACCUAGUUGCACUAGACAACCUACUUUGUUGCAAAGUUUGAAUUGGUAAAGUAAAGUUAAAAAUUGUUAGUUGCCUAUUCACCCCCGCCCUCUAGUCAACUAUAUCAAUCCUUUCAAUUGGUAUCAGAGCCUUGUCUCUUUAUUGAGGACUUUUGCCAUCCAAAGAGUAUGGUUGACACCGUAGACGGUGGUGAGGAGCACUCCGGUGUGAAUCCCAUCUCGUCUAUGGCCGAUGGGGGAACCGCGGUCUCUCGUGAAGAAUUUAAUGUGGCUUUGGACACAUUGAAAACCUCCAUGACGACCGAGGUUGAAAGCAUGUUUAAUAAAUUCAUAGAAGGGCUUAAGUUAUCCACCACACUUUGAAAGUGGGUGAUCCCACCAACAAGGUGAUGGAUGCUAACUCCGACAACGGGGAAGCUACUAAUGAAAAGGAUCCUUCUUCUAGUGGUAAAAAUGGCACAGGCAUCUUUGCCCAUGUGGAACCUCCACCUAUUUAUGGUGGACCGAUUCCUUCCACCCAUUUGAAUCAUGCCGGUCCUCCCCCUAAGAUUGUGAAAAAUGUGGACUUUGAUUCUUGGGUCUAUCGCUUUAAGUGUUAUUUAAAUCAUGUGAAUACUAAUCUUUGGAGAAUCAUUGAAGAAGGCUUCUAUCCGCAUGACCGAAGCAACUUCACGCCUAGAGAGGUCCCGGAUAAUCAAUUCAAUGAGAACACUCUCUUCAUCAUCCAAGAUGCAAUUCUACCCGAAGAUCUCCCUCAUCUUCGCCCCUACGCCAUGGCCAAAGAUGCAUCGCAUUGUGUUGUUUCCCUCUACAGGGGAAGCGCAAGCAUUCAACGCUCCAACUAUGAAGCGGUGCAAGAUGAAGCCGAUGAGUUUGCAAUGAAAGAAGAUGAAGAACCUCGUGAGCUCUAUCAGAGAGUAACCAAACUCGCGGUCUCACUCCGAGAUCACGGGAGCAAGGACACGGAUGACAAUUGGAUCAAGCGCAAGUUUCUCAAGGCAAUGAUGCCUUACCACAAGGCCAUGUCCUCCGUCAUUCGUCAGAGGCCGGACUUCCACACUUUGUCCUCAAGUGAAGUGUUGGAUGAGUUUUUGGCUAUGAGCAUCUUGGAUAAGACUGCCGACAAUGCGGUGCUACGCUCUCAGAGAGCUAAGAGGCCCAACCUUGCAUUGAAGGCCAAGGUUUGUGUCGAAAAAGAAGAAGAAGAGGAGAGCAACCUCGAAGAUACAAAGUAUGCCUAUCAUGAACACAUAGCUCUUGCUUCAAGGCAAUUUUGGAGCAAGAAGAACACAAGGCCCAACUUCAACAAGAACAACUCAAGUGGCACGAAGGUCAAGCAACGAGUAAGGACAUGCUAUAAUUGUGGCAAUGUGAGCCACUUUGUUGCGGAAUGCCCUUACGAGAAGAGGGAGGACAAUGGUGGCAAGCUCAUCCGAAAGGACAAGGCCAAGUCUUUUCCCGACAAGAGCAACUUCACCCAUACAAUGAGGAUGAUGAUGAUGAUGAAGAAGAUGGUGAGUCGGCUGCCAUGGCCUCCGUUGCCAUUGCGACAACUCCACGGGUGUCUCUCUUCGACUCACCCAAUGAGAGCAUCACUGCCAAGUGCCUCAUGGAUAAAGCCACCGACAAGGUAACCCCCAACAUCAAAACUGCCAUCAUUAACAAUCCUUCUUUGACAGAUUACAUUGAUGAACAUGAGGGUUCCAAUGUGGAGGAAAAUGAGUUUCAGUCUUUUAUGAGUAAACUCAAGGGUAAAUCCAAGGAGCACUAUGUUGCUCUAUUGGAACAACUUGGUGAAGCCAAUGACAUGAUCGAGGCUCACGAAGAUACCAUCUCUAAGAUGGAGGGGCAUAGUCGUGACUAUGCCAAUGAGAUUUCGGAUCUUUCCAAUGCUCUCGAGAAAGAGCGUGGUCUUUGUUUGGCUCUUGAGGAGUCACACAACGAUGAUCAUGCUAAAUUAAAGAAAGACCUUGAUCAUACUCUUGUUGUAUCUCGUGUGCUAAGUUCCAAGAAGGCCAAACUUGGGGUUGAUCUUGCUAGACUCAAGGAGGAGUUUGAUCUACUUGACAAGGCCCACAAGGCCUUGAAAGGUAGUCAUGAGAGCCCCAAGGAGUCUCAUGAUCAACUCCAAGUGAAGCUAACCAAGGAGAAAGCCACCUUUCCUCAUAUGGUGUUAAUUGAUAAUGCAAUGCUACUAACACUUGUUGUGAGCAUGUGCAUCUUGUUGAUGAGAACGCCAAGUUGAAGGAGCAACUUGAGAAAGGCCUUGUGUCGUGCAUUCAAGGUAAGAAGAACCUCAACGACCUUUUGAGCAAUCAAAAGGAAUGGAUUGGGUUCGCACCCAUGCCCAAGAACAAGAAGAAGAAUGACAAGACCAAACGACCUCCCCCUCUCAACCAAACCUUUGUGAAGGAGGGAGAGGGUGCUUCCAAGGAGAAGAAGACCAAUGUGAAGGGUGGUAGUGUCAAGAAAGGCAAUGCCACCCCUUCCAACAAAGCCGGCGACUUUAACCUUCUUAUAUAUUGUGCCAUGCUAGUGAUGGGCAUGUUUAUGCCAAAUUUGUUGGUUCUCUUUAUGAGUACAUUGAAUGGUCUAUUUGGGUUCCUAAGACCCUUGUCACUAACAUCAAAGGACCCAUUACAAAAUGGGUACCUAAAACCAAGCAUUGAUCUCUUGUAGGUGUUAGCUUCCGGUGGGGGAUCAUGGUUGCUCGAUAGUGGAGCUACAAAUCAUAUGACUGGAAGCAAGGACUUGGUGGUGGACGUUCACAAGAUUCCAUCUAUGCCCACCAAUGUCGAGUGGGGUGAUGCCUCGUCCUCAAAGGUAUUGGGACUUGGCAAGGUUGUCAUUUCUCAUGAUCUCACGAUCGAGAAGGUCAUGCUUAUUGAGUCCCUUGCAUACAAUUUACUUUCCGUUUAUCAACUUGCACUCAUGGGCUUUGCCACUUUCUUUGAUGUUGAUACCGUGGCCCUCUUGUGGAGCAAGACUCUUAAAGUAGCCUUUGUUUGGCAUGUCGAGAAUGGUCUCUAUGUGAUAAACUUUUCAGAGUGACCCACUAAGACCGCGACAGGCCUAAUGGCUAAAGUUGAUGUGGGAUGGCUUUGGCAUCGCCAUUUAGCCCAUGUCAAUAUGAGAUCUUUGCCAAGUUUUAUCAAGGGGGCCAUGUCCUUGGACUAACGAAUGUUAGUUUUGCUAAAGAUCAUACUUGCAGUGCGUGUAUCGAAGGAAAGCUACAUGAAAAGGCUCACCCUCCCACGACUAUCAUUUACUCAAAGAGGCCGUUGGAGCUCCUUCAUAUGGAUCUCUUUGGGCCUCCAUCCUUUGAUAGUCUUGGGGGUAGAAAGUAUUGUUUGGUGAUUGUGGAUGACUAUUCAAGAUACACUUGGGUUUAUUUCUUCAAAAGGAAGAGCGAGACCCAACAAACCGUCAUUAACUUUGCAAAUGAAGCCCAACGUCAACACAAUGCAAAUAUCUUGACAAUAAGAAGUGACAACGGCACCGAAUUCAAGAACUACACCUUAGAUGAGUUUCUUAGUGAUGAGGGGAUCAAGCAUCAACAUUCCGCACUAUACACCCCUCAACAAAAUGGUGUUGCGAAGAGGAAGAACCGGACAUUGAUGGAUGCGGCGAGAACCAUGAUGGCAGAGUUCAAGUCCCCAUACAACUUUUGGGCCGAAUCCAUCAACACCGCAUGUUAUGCAUCAAAUCAUCUCCAUCUCCGCAAAGGCUUGAACAAGACUCCAUAUGAGAUACUCACUGGUAACAAUCCCAACCUCAUGUACUUUCGGGUGCUCGGGUGUAAGUGUUUCAUUCUCAAGAAAGGUGUUCGUUUGUCUAAAUUUGAGGCUAGAGCUCAUGAGGGUAUAUAUGUUGGUUAUGCUACAAACUCCCAUGCUUACCGUGUUCUCAAUAAGUCUACGGGCCUUAUUGAGGAGACGUGUAACGUGGAGUUUGAUGAGAAUAACGGCUCCCAAGUGGAGCAAAGUGGUACUUGUGAUGUAGGUGAUGAAAUUCCUCCCCAAGCCAUAAGAAGAAUGGGUGUUGGUCAUAUCCUACCCAUUGAGGAACCCCUUGUGGCCGAAGGAGAAGGACAAUGUAACACUCAAGUGGAACCAUCACCAACCCAAGACCCACACGCUUCCGAAGAACAAAGUGAAGGCCCUCAACCUCAUGAACAUGACCAAGGGCGAGAUCAACCUCAAGACGGUGUUGAGUCAGCAAGUGAUGCCCAAGGUCAAGUUCUCUCCUUCGAGCAAGUUCAAGAUCAAGAGCAAGAUCAAGAACAAGCUCAAGACGGGGCUCAAGAUGAUUUAGUGACCGCUCCUCAUCUCUCACCGAGGAGAAUUGGAGCGUCAUGCCGCCAAGAUUGCAUCCAAGCUCACAACCAAGGGUCAUCUCAUGACUAACGUGCUUGGAAGCAUUCGAAAGGGGGUAAGAACUCGUAGACAAUUGGCAAACUAUUGUGAACAUCAUGCGUUUGUCUCUUGUCUUGAACCCCAAAAGGUCUAUGAGGCGCUCGAAGAUCCGGAUUGGCUCAAUGCCAUGCAUGAAGAACUCAACAACUUCGAGUACAACAAGGUGUGGAUAUUGGUACCAAGGCUAACGGGGAACCAUAAUGUCAUUGCAACCAAGUGGAUAUUCAAGAACAAGCAAGAUGCUCACGGAAUCAUCAUUCGCAACAAGGCCCGUUUGGUAGCACAAGGCUACUCCCAAGUUGAGGGCAUCGACUAUGGUGAAACCUUUGCUCCCGUUGCUCGCCUUGAAUCCAUUCGCAUGUUGAUUGCUUAUGCUUCUUAUCAUAACUUUAAGUUGCAACAAAUCGAUGUGAAGAGUGCUUUUCUUAAUGGUCCCAUCAAUGAGUUGCUGUAUGUCAAACAACCCCCCGGGUUCGAGGAUCCCUACUUCCUGAAUCAUGUGUAUCAACUCGAUAAGGCACACUAUGGCCUUAAAUAAGCCCCACGUGCGUGGUAUGAUCACCUUACCGAGUUGUUACAAGAUCAUGGUUUUGAAGUUGGGAAAAUUGACCCCACUCUUUUUACUAAGAAGGUCAAAGGGGAGUUGUUUGUGUGCCAACUAUAUGUUGAUGAUAUUAUCUUUGGUUCCCCUAACAAAGCUUUCAAUGAGGAAUUUGCCGCUCUCAUGACCUCUAAGUUCAAAAUGUCUUCAAUGGGAGAGUUGUAGUUUUUCCUUGGAUUCGAAGUCAAACAAAGAAGAGAAGGAACCUUUAUCAACCAAGCCAAAUACACUCAAGACAUGCUAAAGAGAUUCAAGCUAAGUGAUGUCAAGACGGCUUCCAAUCCAAUGCCCGCAAAGUGCCAACUUGACAUUGAUCCCAAUGGUAAAGCGGUGGAUCAAAAGGUAUAUCGAUCCAUAAUUGGCUCCUUGCUUUACCUUUGUGCAUCCAUACUGGAUAUCAUGUUGAGUGUGGGAAUUUAUGCGCGGUUUCAAGCUGCACCUAAGGAAAGCCACUUUGUGGCGGUCAAGCAAAUCUUUCGAUAUUUGGCUCAUACCCCAAACUUUGGCUUAUGGUACCCAAGAGGAGCAAACUUCAAUCUUGAAGGUUAUCCGGACUCGAAUUGGGCGGGAGACAAAGUGGAUAGGAAGUCCACUUUCGGAGGGUGUCAAUUCCUUGGUUGCUCUUUGGUAAGUUGGUCUUCUAAGAAGCAAAGUUGUGUGUCUCUCUUGUCCACCGAAGCAGAGUAUGUGGCGGCCGGUAGUUGUUGUGCACAACUCCUAUGGAUGAGGCAAACUUUGAAGGAUUACUAUGUCAAUUGUGACAAAGUGCUUCUUUGGUGUGACAAUGAAAGUGCCAUCAAGAUUUCUCUCAACCCGGUGCAACACUUCAAGACGAAGCACAUUGAGAUUCGGUAUCACUUCAUCCGGGAUCAUAUUUGGCGAGGGGAGAUCGAGCUCAACUACGUCAACACACAUGAUAAACUUGCAGAUAUUUUCACGAAGCGCUUGGAUGAAGCAAGAUUUCGCGAGUUAAGGCAUGAGCUAAAUAUCAUUGAUUUGAGCAAUGUGACUUGAACCCUUGCACACCCCACCAUACUCUACUUGAUGUCUAGUUUAGGUGUAGGCAUGGACAUAGGGGGAGUGUUGUUCUCUCAAUGAACUCUCCCUCCCCUCAUCAUGCAUAAAUUGAUAAAAUCUUUCACAUUAGCCAUUUUUUAUGGUACUUGUGCUCCAAAGAUGAGUUUUGGUCAUGGGCCCAAGGAUAAUUCUUCGCGGUGCCAUACCAGUUGACCCAAACAUAGGUGGCUCCGGCUACUGCCCACUCCUUGGAGAGGUUCUGUCUCGUGUUUGGUCCUUGUUGUCUCUUGCCAUUCUUUUUUUGUUGCAGAGUUUUGGUUUCCUCUUCUUUCCUUUUUGCUUUCGUUCUUUUUGAGCCGAGUCUUUUGGUGUCUAGUCGUUGAGUCUCGCUGGAUGGUACAACCGCUGGUAGUGCACGGUACUACCGCUUAUAGCGGUACUACCGCCCACCCGAGCGAUACUACCGUUGGGGGCGGGACCAGGGGGUUAUGUCGGGGCAGGGGGAGGUUUCGUCUCUCCCAUACCCAUUCGCACAACCCUCUUGUCUCUCUUCGUCUCUCCAGCGCCAACUCACCGUGGGAGGGCUCCGGCGGGCCGCCCUCUUCGGGCCAUACCUCUCCAUUUCCUUUGGUGGAGUCGAUCCCCACCCCGUCCUCUUGCCAUGGAUGCCGGUAUUGCCCCCGUUCCUCCUCUCCUUUUGUCUAGUUUUCAGAUCUAGCGUCUUUGGGGCAAUAGUGAUGGCAUCUCUCGAUUUUUGGCUAAAUCUAGGCUUGAGUAGGUUGGAGGAGGCGGCUAGACUGUAUGGAUUAAGUUGUGGUAGGAGUAUUUUUGAAUUUGGCAGUCCGGUAGUGCCGGAUUUGACCACGGCAGUAGGGAACCGCCGGUUCCCACUCUUGACCGGCACUACCGCUCCUAGUGGAGCGGUACUACCGCUUAUGGCCAGCGGUACUACCACUGCAUGCAUGCCCGACUCCAUCUUUUUCCGACCACUUUUUGAUUCAUGUUGUUUUGUUUGGAGGCUUAUGCUCUUUCUUUUGUGUUCGUUCUUCUGUUCGUGUGUUUGGUUCCAGGUGAUGAACAUCCUGAGCAGCAAGUCCGCCGUGUCAAUCCCGGAUGUGCAACGUCAAAGAGCUAUGGCACCUCUGAGUCGGUGGGUGCUUCCUCAAGUGCUCCACCUCCGCCACAACUCUAGAAGAAAUCUGCCAACAGGACGACGCCAAGGGGCAAGACUGUGACUAAGUUGACUACCAAGGAUUUCUGGGAAAAGCGUCGCCGCAACCCUAUGCGGAAGACCAAGAACCCAAUUUGGUCAACCACCCGUUCUGGAACCACUUUCAGUUUUCCAUCUACUUUCAUGUGAUCAAGGCCAAGAAGAAUCUCUAUGUUGAUGUUCGCUCCAUCGACACGGAUGUCAUGGAAAGGACCCUGAGUACUUUGGUGAAGCCCUUCAGAUGUGUUCUCAGCUGAACAUUCUCAGAAUCAUGCAGUUCAACAAGGAUUUUGAUGCAUAUUUGGUGGCUCAAUUCUAUGCUACUGUCCAUCUUGGAACUGAUGCAGAAAGGACUCUGACUUGGAUGAGGCAAGUUGCUUUCUGUCAAGUGGAAGGCCUUCAUGGAGUUACUUGGAGUGGAAGAUCACGGUCUUGAGACUCAGUCGACUUCCGCCCUCACCGCAAUGUUUCCUCCACUCACAAGCAAGCCCUCUGGCCCUACUGUUCUGUGAAGGUUAACCCUGUGACUAAGAAGGAAACCUAUGAGCUGUCUACCUUUCUGGACAUCCUUCAUCGUGUCUUUCGAGAGACUCUCUUCCCUUGCAUCGGGAAUCUAGAUAUGGUCCACUCCUAUCUCGUGGACAUGCUUCUCUUCUGCCAGCAUGAGAAGGAAGCAAACACUAGCGAGUCCCUAGACAUUUCUCAUGUUAUGUGGUCUGAACUUCUUACUGCCAUUUCUGAGCGCAAGUGCCCGAUCUAUGGUCCGUUCAUCAUGCUGCUCAUUAAGAAGGCCUGGGCACGUGUCUAUCCCAAGGUUAUGCUGGAAACUGGAGAAUUGGUUUCUCAGGAGAUCAAGCGUCUAAGGAAGAAGGACAAUUGGGGCACCCCAGCUCCUAAAUCCGGGGGUCCAUCUACUGCUGCUGACAUGGAGACUGAGGGUGGGGCUGAGGCCGAUGAUGACGAUGAGGACUAUGAGCCUUCUGGAGCAGAGCCCUCUUGGGCAAAGAAGCUCAAGCGCAAGAUGAAGAAGCUCUUCCUGCAUGGAGUCUCAUGGUCAGUACAUGAAUCAUGUGGCUGAGAAGCAGGCCAGGGGGCGUCACAAGGAGCUCAUGCGUCAGCUAGGUGCGACCAUCGCCAUUGGUUUUGAGGGCCAAAUCACCGAGGAGGAGGAGUGGAUUCAGCAGCACUGUCCAUGGACCGAUUCAGACACCGAGCAAUUUCCAAUUGAGGAUGGGAGUGCGGAUGACCCUGCCAGGAUGUGAUGAGAGAGCUCCUCAGUUUGCUAUCACCUGGAGCCAUAGCGUCGCUCUUUUCCCUUUUGGUGUCUCGAUGCCAAAGGGGGAGAGAGUUUAGGGAUUUGAGCAUUGUGGUGUCAUCGUUUCGUCGUUUCUCGUCAUUUCUGUGUUUUCUUGUCACUUGCUUUGUUUGGUUUUGUGCCAGUGAGACCUAAAUUCCAGACAUAUGGUGUGAGACAUAUGAUUCUUAUCUUUAUCUAUGUCUUUCUAGCACUUUGGUAUGGUAUCUUAUGAGUUGCUUGCUUAUCUUGUUAUAUACCCUGCUCUCAUGUAUCCUUUGCUUAGGUUGUUGGACUAUAAAAUAUAGGGGUAGUGUUGAUCCAAAUGUGUGUGUCUUGUAUUCCAAAGGCACUACUAACUAGGUGCACACAUUCAGGGGGAGCCUGUCUAUAUUUUGUAGUUCUUAGUAUCUUUACUUUCAUGUUGUAUCCUUGUGUAAAUCCUUGGUUGUCAUCAAUCCACCAAAAAGGGGGAGAUUGUUAAGGCAUAUCUCUCUAGAUGUAGUUUUGGUGAUUGAUGACAACAUGUUUGCGGACUAAUCAUGUGCUUUGAGCUUUUCAGAGAUUCAUACUUGGCACGAGACGAUUUCUUUCCCCUUGGAGUGUUAUUCCAGACGGUGUACCUCUUUCGUUUCUACUUUGGUGAACUAGUUCCCUAGGAGUCACCGUACUAUCAAGAGGGGGCCGCUUUGGUAAGGCUAGGGUGGAAUCAACACGUACACAUCCUUUUCACACCCUGUGAGCCUUUCCGCUUCAAUGGAGAGCUCUUUCCCCUUUCUUUGUGCAUCGUCUGGUCCUAGCGGUAGUACUGCGGUGCCCAGCGGUAGUACCGCUUAGGAGUCACAGGUGGAAGUACCGCUCUGCAGUGGUAGUACCGCCGGUGGGUCCUCAGCCAUAGUAACGCUGUGGUUACCAGGCUCCUACCGCAUCGAUUUAAGGGUGUCGCUUCUCGUGUCGGAUUGUGCGGCACUAAGCAGCGGCAGUAGAGCGGUAGUACCGCCCUACCACGAUGGCAGUACCGCACUGGGCCUCUCUCCUAUUCUCUCUCCGGCCCUCCCAAACUACACGGCAGUACCGCCUGGGGGAGCGGUAGUACCGCUAUGCCCAGCGGUAGUACCGUUGCCUCCUGCGGUAGUACCGCCCUCUGCGGGCUGCUUUGGGGGGUAACGGUUGGAUUGUUCCCCCCACUAUAUAAGGGGGUCUUCUUCCCCAAUGUUGACCUACCUCUUCCAACCCCAAGCUCCAUUGUUGCUCCAAGCUCCAUUUUCGCCCGAUCUCUCUCCCUAGCCAAUCAAACUUGUUUAUUUUCUAGGGAUUGGUUGAGAAGGCCCCGAUCUACACUUCCACUAAGAGAAAUUUGAUUCCCCCAUUAAUCCAUUGCGGAUCUUGUUACUCUUGGGUGUUUGAGCAACCUAGACGGUUGAGGUUACCGCGGAGCCAUAGUCCAUUCUGGUGAAGCUUCGUGGUGUCAUUGGGAGCCUCCAAUUAAGUUGUGGAGAUUGCCCCAACCUUGUUUGUAAAGGUCCGGUCACCGCCUCCAAGGGCACCAGUAGUGGAAUCACGGCAUCUUGCAUUGUGUGAGGGCGUGAGGAGAAUACGGUGGCCCUAGUGGCUUCUUAGGGAGCAUUGUGCCUCCACACCGCUCCAACGGAGACAUACUUCCCCUCAAAAGGAAGGAACUUCGGUAACACAUCCUCAUCUUCACCGGUUCCACUCUUGGUUAUCUCGUGGCUUUACUUGUCUGCCGGUGAGAGGCGUGGAGCCUCUCCUCUCGGUGGGGGAGGCCGUGGCCGCGGUGGUCGAGGUGGCGCAGGGGGGCGAUCUGCGCCUAUCCGUCCCCCGCGCCGGCAACUCCACUCCUCCGACGCGGCCUCCGAAUUCGUGAUGUGGGUGGAGAAGCCCGGCAGCAUGUGGCUUCGGCUUCCCCGCUGGUUCCACGCCGAACUGCCGGAAGAAGGGCCCGACGGCGUUUGGCUGCAGGCCGACGGGUGCUGUAACGGAGCUUUCUGGGUGGGGGUCGAGGUCCUCACUUUAGGCGACGUGUUCCUUGGUCGUGGCUGGCAAUCCUUCGCCCAUGCGCGCCGGCUGCGGGGAAAGUGCACCCUCCACUUCAGGUACGACGGGGUGUCAUCGCUGCUCGUCAAGGCCUUCUCGGAGGGAGGAAGGCGCCUUGGGUGUUGCCCAGAGGUAGACAACGACGAGGAGGGUGGCGACGGCGUCCUGAGGAGUAGCUCUCCCUCUGAAGACGAGCUCGGCCUCGGCAGGCUCCGCAGGUCCCCCCUCUGUGGCAGCAGCAGCUCCUCCAGCAGCGGCAGCUAUCCUGGGUGGCCGCUCCGCCGUGCCUGGCUUGCCGAGGAGGAGGGGCCCUCGCGCCGCAGCUCUUCGAUGAAGCGCGAGGAGUAGGGCUCCGUCUUGGUUGAGGUGCUGAUUACGCCGAUCCACGAGCUCCGAACCCGCCUGGCCCUUGUUUUUGAUUUUCUUCAUUUCCUUCCUGUAUUUAGUUUUAGCUGCCUCGGGUGGGCGUGUAAUGAACAAUGGCAUGUAUGCAUGAAAUGGAAGUCUUCUAUUAUUUACGUUCUGGAUGAAAUUACUUAACUUGUGUACCGCGCUCGUCGUGAGACGAAGUCCUGAGGCGGGUGGCCUCCUGAUGUCACGAGCUCCCAGGCGAGUCAUGAGGACCGCCGGGCUCGGAGCCCCCGAGUGUAGAUGAGCCUUGGUGAGUUGAGGAGGGCUCGCGCCCUUGAGCUUACUUGAGAGUGCGGAGCGAGUACUGAUAUGCCAAGGCCUGAGCAGGCUUGGCGAAGUAAGUCAUGAGGGUUGAAGAGCCUGACGCCAGAGCCUGAGCAGGCUUGGCAAGGUGAGGUCGUGAGGUCACGAUAGCCGAGAGCUGAGACCGGCCAUAUCCCAGCCCCCACGCCCGAGGCGCACGAGGGAGGACAAGCGGCGUAGCCCGGCCCGAAGAACUAAACUUGAGAGCAGUGCGAGAAAAAUGAGCAAAACUAGAACAAACCGCGAUAAGCUCGAAAAACUUCAUAGCAUGGGGUAGAGGAAGGGCUGACAUCCAAGGAAGUAGAAAAGGCUGACAGCCAAACACCAAGGCGAAAAAAGAAAAAAAGGUCGUGUCCGACCCCUAGCUACGUCUUCUUCCCAGCGCGGAGCUAACAACUGCCACUGGGACGUGGGUGGGAGCCCGAUCUGAGGGCCCGUAGGCAACGCAUAGGAGACUCCAAGGCGUGUACAGCCCCAACUCAUUAUUACGUGAGAGUGUCACGAGCGGAGACCUUCAUGGGCACGGAGCCUUGAUUGUCUUCACGGGCACAGAGCCUUGAUUAUGGAUAGAACCUCCUGAGGUGCCGAAUGUUCCAGGAAUUCUGGAUGAGUAUCCCAUCCUGCAUCUCCAGGCGCACAACGCCAGGCCUAGAGACACGGGCGAUUCUGAACGGGCCCUCCCACAUAGGUGAGAGCUUGUGUAGCCCUUCGCUGGAGAGGACCCGCCUCAGGACCAAGUCUCCAACUUCCAAUGUUCUCGAGUGGACGCUGCGGCAAGGAUACCGCCGCAGCGCCUGCUGAUAUCGCGCUGCCCUGAGCGCAGCUCGGCGGUGGCUCUCCUCGCCGAGCAUGAGGUCCAUCCGCCAGGCGGCGUCCCGGCGUUCCUCAUCGAAAGCCAAGACCCUUGAGGAUCAACGCUUGACCUCGUGAGGGAGGACCGCCUCCGCACCAUAAAUGAGAAAGAACGGGGUUUCUCCCGUAGGUUUGGUUGCGGUGGUGCGGAUCGACCACAGCACGGACUGGAGCUCGUCGAUCCAGCCCCUGCCGCAGGCCUCGAGCUUUUUCUUGAAGCUGCGCGUCUUGAGGCCGCACAGGACCUCUGCGUUGGCGCGUUCGGCAUGCCCAUUGCUCCUGUGGUGGGCCAUUGAGGCGUACCAGAUCUGCGUUCUUGGGUUAGCACAAUAUGAUCUAAAGAGAUUGCUCGUGAACUGCGAACCGUUAUCUGUGAUGAUGCGGUUGGGGACACCGAAGCGGGUCACGAGGCCUUUGAUGAACUUGACUGCCGAUCCUGCGGGAAUCGUGCGCACCGGCUCCACCUCGGCCCACUUAGUGAACUUGUCGACAGCGACAUAGAGGAAACGGUAGCCCCCUGCCGCUCAGGGGAACGGUCCCAGGAUGUCCAGCCCCCCAGACCGCGAAGGGCCAAGAGAGCGGGAUUGUCUGAAGAUCUUGCGCUGGCUGAUGGAUUGGCUUGGCAUGAAACUGGCAUGCCUCGCAGGCUCGCACGAGCUCCGUGGCGUUGUCCAACGCUAUGGGCCAAUAGAAGCCGCUGCGAAAGAUCUUGCCCACGAGGGUGUGGGACGAGGAAUGAUGGCCGCAAUCCCCUCCGUGGAUGCCGGCCAGCAACUAUUGUCCUUGCCUCCUCGAGAUGCAUUUUAGCGAGACGCCAUUAGGGCGCCUCCUGUAGAGCUCACCGUCUUGGAUGCAGUAGGCCGUGGCCUGCCGAGCCACGCGUUCCGUGCCUUCCUCCUUCUCCGGCAAGGUGCCGUGCAGUAGGUAUGCCUUGAGUUCCUCAGUCCAGCAAUCUUCCUCAGGUUCGGCGGCGAGCAGCAGGCGGGCUCCGGAGGGCGGUCCACAGGGUGGUGCGCCGACCUCGGGAGCCGCCGGCAGCCCCUCAUGCGUGGAUGCCAGCUCUGGAGUAGGUGGUGCUGCCGAUGUCCUGAGCAAUCGCUCCUCGAAGACACAUGGUUCCUGCGGCUCUCGUUGGGAGGCCCGCUUGGCGAUGUCGUCUGCUUCCUUAUCCGUGCCCCUCGGCACGUGCUGCAGCUCUAGUCCUAGGAACCGCUUCUCCAUCUUGCGCACCUCCUCCAGAUACGCUUCCAUGUGCUCGUCCUUGGGCUUGUACUCUUUGUUAGAGAAGUUGACGAGGAGCUGCGAGUCGCCUUUGAUGGUGAGACGCUUUACCCCUAGUGCGGCCGCGGCCUUGAGCCCGGCGAUUAGGCCCUCGUACUCUGCAAUGUUGUUGGAGACCUUUUCGCCAUGCUAGAAGCAAAGUUGCACAGCGUAGCGGAGCUUGUCCUGAGUGGGUGAUACCAGCACGGCGCCAGCCCCCGCGCCGAGGCGCGAGAAGGCACCAUCGAAAUAUACCACCCAUCCUUCUGGAGUUUCAUCGCUCGGGGCCAGCGAGCGGUCCUUACCAGCCCCCUGGUCCGGAGCAUCGGUCCACUCUGCCACGAAAUCAGCCAGCGCUGCCCCCUUGAUGACCCGCGUGGUGCUGAACUCCAGCUAGAACGCCUGCAGCUCCAUGUUCCACUCAGCAACCCUCUCGACGAUGUUCGGGCCCUAGAGUACCUUUUCCAGGGGGCAGGCUGAGACGACCUUGAUGGGAUGGCCUUGAAAAUAGUGGUGCAGCUUCCUAGAAGCAAUGAGGAGCGCCAGCAACAGCUUCUGGGCAUGGGGUAGCACGAGCGAGCGUUGUGGAGCACGGUGCUGACGAACUACACGGGGUGCUCCACAAGGGUUGGUGAUGCGGGAUCCUCGGGCGCUUUUGAUGACUCAGGAGCUUCACAUAGGCCGGCAGGGUCGCUAGACGUUGCGGCCAUGUCGGCUCCGAAGGUCGUGUCAUAAGGCAGCGGAGUUCCGGAGGGCAUCGGGUCGUUCCACGAGCUCUGGCCCCUGACCCUUUCCUCUUGAGCCACUACCAGCGCCGCGCUGGCGUAGUGAGGCGUAGCGGCGAGAUAAAGGAUCAAGGGCUCCUGAGGCCUUGGUGCCACCAUAACCGGCGGGCUGGUGAGGUUCCCCUUGAGAUCUUGGAAGGUAGUGUCGGCCUCCGGAGUCCACUCAAAAGGCCCCUUCCUCUUCAUGAGCUUGAAGAAGGGGAGGGCGCGCUCGCCGAGCUUCGAGAUGAAACGCCCCAAGGACGUCACACAUCCCGCAAAGUUUCUGCAUUUGCUUCAGGGUCGUGGGCGGCUUCAUUCUCUCGAUGGCUUUGACUUUCUCCGGGUUGGCUUCAAUGCCUCGGUGCGAGACCAGGAAUCCCAGCAGCUUGCCCGAGGGGACCCCAAACACACAUUUUUUCCGGGUUGAGGCAUAAGUUCACCUUGCGCAGGUUGGCGAAGGUUUCCUCCAAGUCCCCGAUAAGGGUCUUGGCCUCCUUGGACUUGACCACGAUGUCGUCGACGUAGGCCUCUGCGUUCCUCCCGAGCUAAGGGCCGAGGGUGAUAUGCAUCAGCCGCUGGAGGUGGCGCCUGCGUUCCUCAGCCCGAAAGGCAUGCAGAUGUAGCAAUAGGUCCCGCAUGGGGUCAGGAACGACGUCUUCUCUACCUCUUGUACUGCCAUUUUGAUCUGGUGGUAGCCCGAGAAGGCGUCGAGGAAGCAAAGCAGGUCGCACUCGGCCAUUGAGCCCACGAUCUAGUCGAUGCCGGGGAGAGGGAAUGGGUCCUGAGGGCAGAACUUGUUGAGGCUUGUAAAGUCGACGCACAUGCGCUCUUUGCCUCCUUUAUUCGGGAUGAUGACGGGGUUGGCCAACCAUUCUGGGUGGCGCACCUCCCGGAUAAUGCUUGCUUCUUCCAGCUUCCGGACCUCCUAGAGGAUGAAGGCCUGCUUUUCUGGAGCUUGCCGCCGUGCCUUUUGCUUGAUAGGUCGUGCGUUCGGGCACACCGUGAGGUGGUGUUCGAUGACGUGCCUUGGUACCGCGACCAGGUCGGUUGCCUUCCAUGUGAACACGUCCUUGUUCGCCCCGAGGAAGGCCACCAACGCCUCCUCUUGCUCUAGAAGCAGGCCCGCACCGAUGGUGAAAGUGGAUCUCGCGUCUCCCUCAUCGACGGGUACCUGCUUGGUCUCGGCACGAUCCUGAGAGAAGAGUUGUUUCUUUUUGGCUGGAGUGGCUUCGGCAGCCUCCAGAGCCCCCUCUGCGCUUGGGGACCUGAAGGGCGGCCUUGGUGUCUCCUUUGAUGGUGAUGGUGCCACUGCUCCCGGGCAUCUUGACAAUGUUGUAGCCCGGGUGAAUCGCUGCCAUGAACUUGGCCAGGGCCGGGAAGCCGAGGAUGGCGUUAUAGGGCAGGUGGAUAGGCGCGACGUCAAAGUCGAUGAUCUCGGUCAGGUAAUUGGCGUGCGUCCCGAAGGUGACGGGGAGGCGGACCUGCCCGAGCAGAACGGCCGAGCCCGCGACCCCCGAGAAGGGUUUGGUGGGGAGGAGCCGCCCAUAGGCCACCAGCAGGCGUCCAAAGGCCUCCGCAGAGAGGAUGCUGAGCCCGGCGCCGCCGUCGACGAGGGUCCUUGUGACGGCCACCCUGUAGAUGGUGGGGGUACAUACCGUGGGGCGGAUGCAUGUGCCGGUUGUAGCUCUAGUGCGGUCACCGGGGCCGAAGGCCAUGGCGUGCCCCUGCGCGUCUAGCCCCCGUGGGGCCUCCUGCGGCCGAGCGGCAGCCCCCAGCCGCCGAAGGUGUGAUUUAGCAUGAUGGGCCGACGCCGGCGCCUGGGAUCCUCCGAUGAUGCAGGCGACCCCGCGGCAUGGUGGCGCCCCGCCGGCAGCGUCCAGCAGCUCGCCGAGGCGAGCCACCCAAGCGUCAAGUCCCACCACAGGCGGCUGGUGUCGGAGCAUCUCCUGGGCCGUUAGAAGCGCCGCCGGCGAGGCCAGGGGAAGCGGGAGUGGCGUAGCGGGCCGCUCCCCAGUGGCUGGGCCGAUGAUGGGGUCGUCGACAUGGAGGACGAAGCGCCCGUGAGCGACGCAGUCCGCCGACGCCGCCCGGGCAAUGAGAACGGCUCCAGCCUCCACGCGGAUGUAGCAGGCAGGUGUCGCCAUGAUGACGUAGGGCAGAAGAGGGGAGGCGAGGUCGUCGGAGAGGCGAGAUUUCGACACACCCCCUACCUGGCGCGCUAAAUGUCGGAUUUCGGGCUCCGCAAAACCCUCAAGAUUCGAACACAGAGGCGUGACGAAGAUCUCUCCCACUACACAUCUACCUAGCGCCACGCUCUUCUCCUGGUGGUGGGAAUAGAAUGCAAGCAAGCAAACAACUAGAGCACACAAGAGUUUACCCAGGUUCAGGCCACCUUGCGGUGUAAAACCCUACGUCCUGCUUUACUGGAUUGGCCUCGCAAGGGCUCGAGUAUGAACAAAUAUAGUGGUUUCCUGAGCUCAGGAGGCGAGCUCAAGAGGGGUGAGGGAGCGGAUGUUCUUGCUCCUUUGCUAUGCUAAGUCCCAAUGGGUCUCUCCCCUAUGUUAGGAACCCUAGCUACUUAUAUAGGCGGCCAGGGUCCUCUUCCCCCGAAAUGUUUAGGCGGGAAGGGAAUCCCACAACGGCCAUUUGAGUGGGAACACAAGGACGCUCCUAUCCUGACAAAAGGUGGUCUUCGCCUGCAAAGAGGGCAGGCAGUGACGCGGUUGUGGGCUCGGCGAUGACAUCCUUCCUGCCGUCCUUGCGGUCUUCGGUCUUAUUGCACCAAAGGGGAAACCUUUGCCCGGACCCUCUGGAACAUGCGCCUGUGCAGUCUCCUUUGCACUGAUAUGGAAACUGCGCCCGCUGGCACGCGCUGGCGCCCGCUGGCACGAUUCUUCAUGGCUUGCGUCACUGCCUCCUCCUGAGGCAGCCCUUGCCUUGAGAUCUCUGCCCUCCCGAAGCAGCCUAGCUGAGGCCACUCUUGGGAGAGGUCUUAGUUGCCCCUCCGGAGCGGCCUAGGUGAGGCCGCUCCCUGAGGAGGUCCUGGUCGUUCUCCUCGCGAUGGCUGGCCCCCUCGCGAGGGUCUUGAGCAGCUGGUCGAUCAGCUGGGCUCUGCCGGGCCAUACCAGGAAUGCGACGUGGGCCGCAGGCAGGCAAGUCUGGGUACCCUGGUUCCCAGUACGCCGACAGUAGUGGCUAGUAACUCGAACACUAAACCAAGACAGGACUUUGGGGUUGUCUCACUAUCUUCAAGAUAGUCUUCCUUAGCUGUUUUAUCAGCUUUGUUGGAGACCAACAAGGAUGUCUCACUAUCCUGAACCUUAUCUGCAUUACUUCCUUUACCAUUUCUUAAUAAGGCACUCUUCCCCAAUAUUCUGUCUGCAUUCUAAAAGAAGAAACAAGCAGACACAUAACAUGUUUAGCAUGUACUAGUAUAUGAAACUCAUUUCGGUGAACCAGUUCAUUAGUAAGGUGGACAGGAUUAAACUACCAAGUCUUCUUUUGCCAAGUACUAGUACAUAAUAAAAGCAUCAAACAAACAUAUAUCUGUAUCCUAUGGUCACUGCAUUGUCUUGCCAAAUCAAAAUAGAGACACAGUUCAAAUCAUAUAAGUUCAAGACAAAGCAGGAGUGAAAGAAUACAAAGCGUGGGAAACUACACGGCACAACAAGAUUUCAGAUGGGUACUACAGGUCUACAUGUACAACAACACUACUGGCUCUGUUGUGAUGCUAGUAUACACAAUUGAAAUGGAAAUCAACAGAGCUAUUGAUAAGAGCAAACAUGUUAAAGAAACAUGCGUGAACAUACCUGCUGUGCCAUUGGAGUUUUGAUUGGAUCCUUCAAUUUAAAAAUAAGUUUGUAUGAGUAAAUACAGUGAUACAAGAGCAAAGCAGUAUGCACGAUAGCAAUCAUAGUUAAAAAAGGCGCACCUAAGUGAGCGCUUAAGCGCGCCUAGGCUCUAGGCAUUGGCAAAACGCAUUGCGCAUAACUACACUUAACCUAUGCAUAACUGCGCAUAAGCAUGCGCUUUGGUCAGUAAAGCGCAAGGCGGUGGCAAAAUGCACAAUUAACGCCUAGCGCUUUUUGGAACUAUGAUAGCAAUGGAAUCUUAAAUUAGAACAGUUGUUCUUCAGGUUUAGGCACUUGUUCUACAUGAACAGAGUACAGUAAGACGCAAGAAUAUAGUACUUAAAAAUAGAAAAUGAGCUCAUAGACCUUACCACAUUCUUGGUUCGGCACCAGUACAGAACAAGGCAUUCCCAGUCAUCGUCCAGUAAAUGUGUCUCAGGAGAACAUAAGGGAAUUUGAUGAGUUUGUUUGCCAGUGAAGUACAUUUUCUUCAGGUAAUUCCGAUACUGCCACCAAGCAUUCUUGAAGAUAGCAGAGGUAUUACCACAGGUUACCUCAUCCCAAGUUUCCAAAUCGGUCCUUCUCUAUAGAGAAAAAUGGGAAAAUUUGCUGUAUUAUAACCAUCAUGGAGGUAGGAUGUAUGGGACAAAGCAAAGUAAUUGCCAUGAAUAACAUUACUUACACGUAACUCCUAGACAAACACCUGCAAUUGGCAUUUUCCUUCAUCUUCAGUAUAAUAUUUCCAAGAUGGGAAGAUACGCACAUACGAUUUAACAACAUCAAGUGCGAUAGAUGCUAAACUACGACUAGCUAGUUGUGCUUCCUCCACAGGAAUAGGCGUACUAACUGUUGGAGUUGGGGUUCGCCGUGGUAGUACUGGCCCUUUGGGCACUUGAGCUGCCUUACUAACUGCUCUUGUUUGGGAGCUCUGUGGUGGAGAUGGUGCUGUGUCAACCAAAACUAGGUUACUAUCUGCUGGGGUUGGGGUUAGAUUGGGUGAAGCUGGUUCUCUGUCCAUUGCAAUAGGGGUACAAUCUGCGAGAGUUUGGGUUAUGUGUGGUAGGGCUGGUUCUCGUGCAUGUACAACCGAGGUGCUAUCUCCACCAAGAGGUAGCACUGUUUUAUUU
rnacentral:lncRNA from 1 species